rnacentral:lncRNA from 1 species
UCUUCUCCCCUGUUUCUUCUCCCCUGUCCGUCGCCCGUGCGCCCCAUCGCUGCUCCACCUCCACACGCACGCCGACGCUGCGAGCCACCUGCGACCCCAGCGCCAGAUCUGGACCAUCGCCGAAACCCGCAGCCUCCGCCACCUCCACCUGAGCUCUGCCUCGCGCGCAACCCAGCUGCUCUGCGCCCGAAGCUCCACCGCCGCCACAGCCUCCCCACGCAGCUCCCUGCUCACGCGGCCACAAGCCCAUUGGAAACGGGACAGAGACUGCCGCCGAGCCACUUGCCCGCGUGACCGCCGCUGUUUUCCACCACCUCCCUCACGCGAGCUCUUUCCCUCUCAGCAGCAAUCCACUUCACAGCGCACCCGCUGCGCGCCGUCGCAGCCCUCGCAGCUCCAGCCCGUCUGGUCUAGUCCGCCGCGCGCACCAACCACCCACGGACGCUACCCCCAUCGCUAACCCACGCGGCCUCCACUCCAGUCUGUCCGCCGCCGCUGCUCGUGUCUCCCUUGCGCACCUCACGCCACCCGCUACUGUCCCCUUCCGUUUGGUUAGCAUCCACGGUGGAGGUAAUUGGAGGUUAUUUUCUCAAUUGUGUGACUUCCGCCUGUGAUACUGGUUGCAUUAUUUUUGCUGGGAAUUGCUACUUCUUUUGGGUUGGGUUCAACUGUGCAAUUAAUUGGCCAACUGGAGCCAUUUGUUGGGAUUUUGGGUGAGCUGAAAUACUGCAUUUGUGUGUUACAUUGGGAGGUUUAUUGGGUACAUUCUAACCGCUGUUUUCCAUUGUUACUCUCGCUGGGGUGUCUAUUAAAUUGCGAUUGAAGUAUUUUGGAUAUUGCAUGUUGAGAUUGAGGUUUCAUUGAAUUUGGCCUACGUUCUGCCCCCAGUGGUACUGGUGGGAAUAUUUUCAAUUGAAUUUGUUACCUCUAGUUGGUUGGCUACAUUAUUAUGGUCGAAUUCCUAAGUUGUCGUCAUUGCAUUUGUUGAUCUUGAUUUGGGGCAUUAACCGGCCAACUGGAGCCAUCUGUGCGUUUUUAGGCGCUAUUAUUGGUUUCUUCUCCCUUAACUUUGUCAACUAUAUUUGGUUGGGUAUUUGGUUGACUGCCACGGACUUGUAACUGUGUUUUGCUUCUAAUUGACCAGUUGCACAGCAGUUUUUUUUUAAUUGAUAGGGUGGUUAUACCUCUGGAUAUUUGUAUCCACUGGUUUGAGGACAUGGUGAGACCAAAAUCCUCCUCUAGGUCUAGGACCCCUAGAACCUCGCAAUCCCAACCCCAAGCCUCUACUCUAGUCAAUACCCCUAUAAAUCAACCUACUGCUCCCGGUGUCCGAACCUGGUUAGGUAGGGGUAGAGGUGCCCACGUGGCUUCCGCCACUCACUUGGGAGGGCAUUUGGAAUUCACUAGAGCCGCCGAUCAGCGACGCUAUGCUCAAGCUUGUGAGCGGCGUAUCAUUCCGUGCAAAUGCGCGGACCACAUUACUAUGGUUUUUCUGGGGAUCCAAGGGGAGGUUGAGCGCAUGUACACCGCCAUUGGAUGGCGCCCCUAUCUGGAUAUUUUCCAGCCAGCCUUUGUCGAGUUGACUAGAGAGUUUUACACCACUUUUAAGUUUGAAUUACCGACUAGGUAUACUGUUGCGACUCCCGAUAUCAUUCACUUCCGUCUCAUGGGCCAGGAAUUCAAUUUCUCUAUCACCCAGUUCAAUCUGGCUUUCGGUUUCAUCACUCGGGAGUAUGCAGAGACUAGGGAAUACGGUGAGAGUGCCUGCGAUUUUGUGGAACCUUUCCUUACCGCCUACCGUGAGGUGUGGGAGGACAUGUCUGUGGACAUGCAGCGUUACGAUCCCUCUCGGUCUCGGAGCUCCUUUCUAGAGGACCCGAGUGCUCGGUAUGUUCAGCGGCUUUUAGCAUAUAGCUACUCGGGCAGAAAGAACAGCUUCGGUAUUAUCUCUCGGCCGGAGCUCUUCUUCCUUUGGUGUAUGAAGAAUGGGUUCAAGGUCAAUUUGGGUUGUUGGUUGGCGGCACAGUUCAAGACCGUCAUGGCAAAGAAGAACAAGCCGUUGAUUCUUGGGUCGUAUAUCACGUACUUGGCGGUCCAGCUAGGCGUUCUGAAUCUACAGGAUCACGAUUUGCACUUGGCCUGCGACAUGGAGUAUCUCACUGCUGACCGGCUAGAGAAGAUGGGGGUUCUGGAGCUUGUCGAUGGCCACUACCGAUUUGUGCCCCCGGGACCGCCCCGCGCCCCGCCUCGCUCUUCCUCCACCCAUUCGGCCCCAGUUGGCGGUGAUCCUGGCCCGUCGACAUCCGCUCAGCUCCCUCCACCAGCAGGGGCUGAAGAUUGGCACCAAAUCAGGACGCAGAUUCAGAAUUUGGACGCCCGGAUGAUUAGCAUCGAGAGCAACGUGGCGGCUAUAUCACAGAAUCUGGCGGCAUUCCUGCAGCACUCGGGUUUCCCGCCCCCAAUCCCACCUCACCCUCCACUAUGACCCGGUUUCAGGGAAGUUUGGUUACUUUCUCCCUCACUUUUGUUGUUUUUUGACACAUUGAGGACAAUGUGUCCUAUAGGUGUGGGGGGGUCUAUAGUCUUUCUAGUUUUUAGUAGUUGUUAGUUUUUAGUUUUUUAGUAGUUUUAGUUUUAUUUCUAGUUGCGUAUUUUCUUUCUUUUCUUAGUGCUUAUUCCCCAUGUGAAAAGAAAAAGAAAACAAAAAAAAAGAGAAAAAAAUGUUGGUUUAUUGACUCUAACUCUACUUUUGCCAAGUUUUUUUUAAAUAAAAAUGUAUCGGGUUAAUGUGGUUGGAUCCAGAAUAUCUCCCUGGUGAAUAUCGGAUUGCUUGGCUCUUUUGAUUUCUGUGUUAAUUUCUCUAGGCAUAGGGAAUGACUGUUGGCAUUUUAAUGUGAACUGGUCCAAUAUUGACUCCAGUUCUCUAUGUUUGGCAAUAAUGAGGCGAGCUGUUCCUAUUUUUGGUUCUUAGUGUUGUUAUUAUGUGUUUUUGGCUUUGUUUGGCUGUGAAUAAUCUGGACUGUACUCCGCUAUGAGUUACUACUGAGUAACCGAGGAUCGGCACCUAAAAGUGUCGAUUCUCGCGUCAAAAGGUGGUACUUUAUAUGAGUACGUGGUCGUAUAGCAGUAGGAGCUGAGUAACCGGGCUCCUUCAUCUAAAAAUGUUGGAGUUCGCGUCAAAAGGCCCCGACGGCUAACGACUAAGUCUUUUUGUGUUAAUUAUUAUUGCUUUGAAAAACAAAAAAAAAAAAGAACGAAAAAAGAGAGAAUAAAUAAUAGGAAGGCUUGCCGGUUUAUGGACUUAAUAUGGAGACUUGUGUGAAUAUUUGGACCAUUAGCUAAUAAAUGUUGUGCGCCAUUCCCUUUUCUUAGAGUAGUUAACCUGGAAAUUGAAGGAAUUUGCAGUUUAGGGGCUAACCGGGGGGGAGGCUUCUUGGAUUUUAAUCACCAAUGCUCGAUAUAUGUUUUUCUCUUGAAGAUCUUGGCAAUAUAGGAGAUUGGACAAUGGCCAUCAUCGAAUUUUGGUGUUCGUUUACUAUUCUUAUGCUUGAGGACAAGCAUGGUUUAGGUGUAGGGGGAAUUGAUAGGGUGUAAUUUUACUAUUUAUUUUAUUAUUAAUUUCUCCUAUCACCUGACCUGAUGUGGAUUAAUUGCUGGAUUCUGCUCACUUUUAGUACUUUGUAUUUAUUUCAGGGAGUAGAACGGAAAUUUGAUAACAGGUGCUAAUUUGGCAGAAAAAAGUCCAGAUGAUAGAGCUUGCCCCAAGGGCAUUUUUGGAAAGGAGAACUUGUGCCCAUCUUGGUAAUUUGGGAGAAAAGGGAAACAGACAAAAUGGGUCUAACAUGGAUUGGAAGCGGCCGCACAGUAGCAGGGAAGAGGGCAGACGUAAAAGCAAUUGCAGGGGGGAAAAGGAGUUUUUUUAGUUUUUAGCUUAGCAUCUGAUUUUCCCUGGGAGACUUUUGUUAAAGAUUUCCUUUUGGCUGAUAUUACGCAUGGCAGAUGGCUUUUAACUUAUUCCUCCAUCUUUGACUUUUCUUCUUUAGCUUGUAGUAGUGGAUUGCUACUUACGAAUGUCAGCACUUAGCCAUUCGUGGCUUUUGAUCUUUUCUUCCUUAGAAAUUCUGAGUAGCCUCUUUUCCUUUGUGCGCCAGACGAAGUGAAAACUAUAAACUUUUGUAGUGUUUCUAUUCAUUCAAUAUAUUGAGACGAGUUGGAUUCUACCAAAUUUCAAUGGACAUGGCCGCUGGUUUCUCUUCAAUUUUAUAUGGGCUUUGUUCAUCGAACAUGAACUAAUUUCACCACUCUAGUCAAGGAACAACGAAGACUCUGGUUCGCCUAAAAAUUGUGAGAUCGUUUUAAUUUAAUCUUUUCCUUUUAUUUAUUGGUAUCCGCACAUUUCUUGAUUGCUAUGCUUAUGGUUAUUUAAUUAAUUGAUUGUCUUGGAUCCAGAUAAUUAAUUGAUCUGAUAGCCUAUUGUCAAUUAGGGCAUUUAAAUCCGUAAUUGUUUAAUUGUCCUGAAAUAGUGACAACUGGCACGAUUAGAUUCGUGCCAGGGGGGAUAUGCGGGCUAAUCUAAAAUAACCCUGGUAGUGUGUUAUUUGGUUAGAAUAGGGCUCCUCUAAUAUGUAAGGCAAUUGGGGAAUUAAAUUCUACGGGCGUACCUAGAAUUAUUUCUUAAUUAGAGUAGUGAUUAACGGGCGUACCUUGAUCACCGACACAGUAAGGAGGGGUUGACUGCCAUCGCUUGUUUGGCAGUUAUAACAUAUUUAUCAGUAAAUAAUUGGGAUUGCCUUGCAUCAAUGAUCAAUUAGAUGAACUAUUGCUGAAGUUACUUCUUGGCUAGAUCUUUAGUUAAUAUUACCUUGAUUUUGGUGAAUUGCCAUUUGAUUUUUAGUUGCCUACUUUAUUUUAUUUUUAAUUGUUUCCUUGCUUUAAUUGAGUUAGGCCUUUAAUUAUUGUUAUUCUAAGUUUAGUGAAUUGUGGUUUAAUUCCUAAUUAGUUAUUUAUUUUUACUUUCUUAUUUGAAUUUAUUUGCUUGUUAUCAUUCCUACGAAAUCACCCCCCUGUGUUACUUUGGAUUUCUUAAGAAACAAAUAUACCCAGUCCCUGUGGAUACGACCCUACUUGCCCUGUCCACGAAUUCAUAAUUAUUUGUGAAAAGAAAUAACCAUUCCACUCGGGUAUAUCGGAUCAAGCAAACUCUUCGGGAACAGGGUGAAUCAAGUAACCCAUUGCACACCUAAAAUCCCUGCUCCAGUACUUGGAAUUGGGUUUUGGUCAUUUUAACUGGCAAUUAAGUUUAAUUUUAUUAUUGCACAGGCUGACGACCCUGUCAUUGUAUUUGUACCAAAAGUGAAAACUUAACUAUUUUAGUUGUAUUUAUUUCAUCAUGUUGGAUUGUAUUCAAAUAAUUUUUGUUUGAUUGUUUUUAUAAGUUUCAAUUGUAAAAUUAAAAUGAAUAAUAACUUGAUGAUGUGUUGAUAUUUUAGUACUUGAUUAUUUAUUAAAAUUUAAUUAUAAUAAAAUUUUAUUAACUCAACGAGAAAAAUUUUAUUAAUCCCGUGGGGGCACCCGCGGGGAAAGCGGGGCGGGGCGAGGGGAGUGGGAGGCGGAGGACGGGGCGGGGGCGGGGGAUGGGGGAGGGGUCCCCCGCCCCAACCCCGCCAUCCCCCGUCCCGUUGUCAUCCCUAGUAAUAGACUGGCAAGCAUUGUGGUGGUCAUUGAGCAACUUAUAGGAGAAAUAGUCCUAUAAGCUGUUCAAUGACCAAUCACAACUUGCUAAUUGGAUGACUAAUAUAGCUCUAGCUGUAAUGUUUUAAUUAAAUUACAUCACUAACGUUGGGAUGACUUUUUAACCAAAAAAAAAAAGCCUUAGUUCAAGCUUUUCCCUUUAUUGUGCAUUUUUUAAAGCAUUUGAAAGGCACUGCAAAUCUGUCAUUUUGGACAUUUUAUUAUUGACUAACAAUGAAAGCCGUGGACGUCUACCCAUAACCAACACAAGAUUAAAUUAAUAUUAGAAAAAAUAAUUGAGUAAUUGGAAAAAAAAAAAAAAGAAGAGUCUAAUUUUCAUUGAAACCCACCGACAAACUAUACGUGUCCAUGGCUUUUGAAUAGUGCAUUCAACGUUUAAUUGUAUGGUCCAGUUCAUUGCAGAUUACAUGGAGUAAAGAUUGCGCUCUUUCCUUUUCACCCCUUUUGGAAUCGAUACUGUGGAGAAUUGGGUUUUUCCCUCCUUUUUUUCUUUUCUUUCCUUCUGUGGUUUGCAAAACAUACGUAAAAAUAUGAAAUCCGAAGCAUUCUUUAAUUGGUAUUAAGUAUUGUUGUUGAAAUUAAAAAGAAAAAAGAAAGAACAACAAAAUUCCCAAUCUGGGUUGAUUGUUGAGCUCUAGAUUGGUUGCAUCGUGCUUCCAUAGAAGCAAGAUUUGUAAAAUCGGAAUCCUACAUAGGAUCGAUUUUAGUUUCACAGGAUCGGAUUGUAAAAUCGUAAGAUCCUACCAAAAGCUCUCAAUUGCAAUUAAAGGUUGCAAUUCUUUAAUAAAUUACAAAUAUACCACAAAUAUUUUCAUUUACUUGCAAAAUGGAGCUUCGUAUUUCACAAAUUUACAAAAAAAUUGUAGGAUCGUACGAUCCUACCGAUCCUACGAUCCUACACGAUCCUACCGAUCCUGCUACGAUUCUAUGCGAUCCUACAAAGAUUAAUAUGAUUUGCGACUCUGCAUACGAUCCGGAUCGAUUUUGGUUAUCCGGAUCGUAGGAUCGUAUGAUCCUACGAUCCGGAUCGCGAUUUUGACAACUAUGCAUAGAAGCUCUCUUAGUGUGAUACACUGCUUUCAAUCAGUUUAACACGGGAAAAAAAAAAAGAGAUGAAAAGCAAAUUUGGUGGAGAUAAUUUCAGAAACCUCCCCUGAAGAUUUUGACUAUUCUACUGGUUUCCCUUCAGAUUUUAAAAAUUACACUAAUCUUCCUUGAAGUUAAUUAUCUUGUAACAUUUAAAUUCAAUCAAUAAUUUAAAAAAUGAUAUUAUGAGAGAGAAAAUAAUAUGAUUUUAUCAUUGCCCCCCAUCUUACUACAUUAUUUAAUUAAUUUAAUAGCAACCCACACAUUAAAGAAAAAUAUUAAAAUUUGUUGUUUAUCAUUAAAGAUCAAAUCGCUUAUAACAUCAAAUAAUAGUAUAUUAUUUAUAUUUUUCACUUAAUAUAAUAUCCAAAUUACUCUUUUCAAUUACAUACCCAUUGUUAGAGAAUCAACAACAAAUAACCAAAAAAUUUGCAACCAAAAUAUUACAAAAAAAAUAAACUUUAACAUCAUAAAUAUUCUUAUCAACAUAUUAAAGUUAGUUACUGAAAUUUUUAUGCUGUUAAACUUCACUCUUUUUGAAUACAGAUUUUUUUGAUUAUUUGUUAUUAAUUAUGUUUGAUGAUGGGUUUAUAAUUGAAAAGAACAAUUUGAAACUUACAUUAAGUAAAAUAUAUAGAGUGAUAUACUAUUUUUUAUAACAUAUGUGAUUCAAUCCUUCUUGAUAGGAUUGGUAAUAGAGGUAGAGGGGGGAGUCGGCUGCAUCCGGUCUUCUUUUCAUAGAUAGUACAAUAUUGCGAAAUCAAUCGCAUUCACACAAUAAUAUUUCGAAGUCAAUGCAUGGCUAAGUUGCAUAAAAGUACGAACACUUGUUAUUAUAUAGCUUAAGAUUCAAAACUUUCGAGCAUAACCCUCCACCCAACACAAUUGAAUAAUGAAUAUUCACGAUUGUCAAAUCUGUCAAAGCACAGUUUGAGGACAACCCAUUCCAACCUGCAAAAGAUUUUUUACUUUUCUAAAGUUGUUGAGAGCUGUAAAAAGACUUACCAUGCUUGCAUCCUCCGAGCCUUGGGAGUUAAAAAUGAAGGCACUGAGUGCUAUAAAAAGGGGAAUAGAGGCUGCCUAGAAGCAUAUCAGCCUAAAACAAGAAUUUGUAGUUAAGAUGGGAAGCAAAGCAAAAGCAAUGGGGUCUGGGCUGACUCCUCUUCUUGCCACUGUUUUAGUGGUGUUUGUUGCUCUUGGCUUGCCCUCACAAACUGCAGCUGAUGAUCACUACAAGUAUUCAUCUCCUCCUCCUCCUUACCACUAUCCCUCACCACCACCACCAGUGCAUAUACCUCCACCUCAUCCUGUUUACAAGUACAAAUCUCCACCACCCCCACCACCACACCCAGUUUACAAGUAUAAGUCACCACCACCACCUCCUCAUCCGGUAUACAAGUAUAAGUCUCCUCCGCCACCACCACACCCAGUUUACAAGUACAAGUCACCACCACCACCUCCUCAUCCGGUACCACACCCAGUUUACAAGUAUAAGUCACCUCCACCACCUCCUCAUCCGGUACCCACAGUUUACAAGUAUAAGUCACCACCACCACCUCCUCAUCCGGUAUACAAGUAUAAGUCUCCUCCGCCACCACCACACCCAGUUUACAAGUAUAAGUCACCACCACCACCUCCUCAUCCGGUGCCACACCCAGUUUACCACUACAAGUCACCACCACCACCUCCUCAUCCGGUACCACACCCAGUUUACCACUACAAGUCACCACCACCUCCUCACCCAGUUUACAAAUACGAGUCUCCACCACCACCAGUUUAUAAGUACAAGUCACCACCACCUCCUCCACCAGUUUACAAGUAUAAAUCUCCUCCACCACCACCACCAGUUUACCACUACAAGUCUCCACCACCUCCUCCCCCAGUUUACAAAUACAAGUCUCCACCACCUCCUCACCACUACUAAGCAAUUGCUUCUGAGGUAAUAACACUUGUUCAAUAUACCCACUUCUGCAUGAUAAAGCAUAUCUCUAUCAACACAAACUGUCAUGUCUAUCAUGCUAAGUGCCUUCACUUCAUCCACCAAAAUGACUGCUAGAAAAUUUUUUUUAUGUUACCAAAGAAAGGCAUCAUUUUUUCCCUCUGUUAUCAAGAACUUGUACAGUAUAUAGAUUAAAGAGUAUUUUUUUAACUAGCUUAUCAACUGAGAAAUGCAUAUAGCUGAUAGCCAGCUGAAUAUUUGCAGGCAAAGGAGAAGGAAACCAUGUUUGAGACCUUCUUGAAGAUGUAGAAGCAUAAGAAUAAAAGCCCAAUGUGAAGAUGAUGAUUUCAAGUUUUUCUACGUUACCAUUUCUUUAUCUAAAUUGGUUGUAGCGCCCAAGUUCCUUUGUUUAUGGGAUUUGUAUCGUUUUACGUACCAUGCAGUACAUGUCAUGUUUGUAAGGUUUUCUAUCCUGCCGGCAAACCGCAGGUUCCAUGUGAUAAAUGAAUACUAUUUAUGUUACGACACUUUUCUCUGUUUCUCUUAUAUUUUGUCUUUAAUAUUCUUAAUCAUAUUUUUAACAAAAAUAUUCAAACACUUAGGCAAUCUGGUCUAAUGCUAAUUGUAUGUUUUACUUUUCUUUUUCACCUGCUCCCCUUUUCAACUCAAAAGGAUGCAAUAGUUUGUGAUCACUGUUUAAGACGGAAGCAUGAUACUAAUGAAUAUCUCAUUGAAACUCAAGGAAACUAACAUUGCGAAAAGUGUAAAUCUUGAUUUGAUGCAACUAUUUAUUCGUGGAAUCUAUAGUUACAAAACUCAAAUUCUGACUGCGCCAUUGAUAAAUUAUUAAUGACGCUAUCAUCAUUAUUUAUCCCUAACUAGUUUCGACUACAACUGAACCCAAUAUUUUCCCCAUGAUAAAAGUUUUUGACUAUUUUACUGGCCUCUCUUCAAAUUUUAAAAAUUACACUAAUCUUCAUUGAGAUUAAUUAUCUUGUAACAUUUAAGUCCAAUUAAUAAUUAAAAAAUGAUAUUAUGAGAGAGAAAAUAAUAUAAUUUUAUCAUUGCCCCCCAUCUUGCUAUAUUAUUUAAUUAAUUUAAUAGCAACCCACACAUUAAAGAAAAAUACUAAAAUUUGCUGCUUUUCAUUAAAGAUCAAAUUGCAUAUGCCAUAAAACAUAGUAUAUCAUUCUAUAUGUUUCACUUAAUGUAAGAUCCCAAUUGUUCUUUUCAAUUACAAACCCAUUGUCAAACAUGAUCAAUAACAAAUAAUCAAAAAAUUUGCAACCAAAAUAUUACAAAAAAAAACUUUAACAUCAUAAAUAUUCUUACCACCUCUAGUGCAUUCACCCUCAUAAAAUAAUUCAAGACCCUACUGUCAUAAAAUGACUGAUCAACUCCUGUAAACCUAAUUUGACAACAUUUAAAUGGAGAACUUUAGCUAAAAGAAUUAUGGUCAAGCUAAAGAAAAAACCAGUUAUUUUCCAACAUAUGCAACCAUUGAUCAGGGGAAAAAAAAAAGCAAAAAGACAUCUUCAAUCAUUUAAUAGCUUACAGGGCAAAUUAACCCUUGAGUGAAAACUGGUUGCUCUAGAAUUAAAAUUUUACCUUAGUUACCCAGGCAACUUUUUUGUUGCCUUUUCUUUUUCUUUUUUGGGUAUAUAGCUCCAGUUUUGCCCCCUCUGUCAAGCUUAUAUAAUUAUUAAGAUAAUAAAAGUGCCUUUAAUAGUAUUAAUAUAUCCAUUGACUUGAGCUGUCAUCGAUCGGUUUGGGCUACUUCGAUUCCAUGAGAACAAAUGGUAAUAAAAGUACUCAGAAAAUGGGGAGUCAUGAAACCCUUUUGUUCUAUUCAUUGCUAAGAUGCUUUUCUCUAUAAAGAGACUUCCUAACGAAAAUACUUUGUAGAUUUCUUUACUCCAAGUGGUGCAUGGAAAAUUAAUAUUUUCAAUUAUCAAAUAAAAUUCCCUUUUUUCGGCGUAGAUUUCAUCCAUCCAGCUGUUAACACAUUCUAUAAAUCCGAAUUGACUAAUCUUUUCGUUUCCAUUUUCCAACUUGCGAAUACGGCAUAUAGUGUCUGCUAAACACUAUAUAUUCUCUGCCAAAUAUGAAUACAUAUCACUUUUCUGAGCAAGUGCAGAGUCAUUAUCAUUUUUAUUCCCACCUAACAAAUUAGGGAUAAAAAAGUUAAUAAUCUUUACAUGCUAUCAGGUCACAAGUUAAUAAUCUUUUAAAGAACAUGUUAAAUUAAUUUAUUGGUAUGAAUAGUAGUCAAAGAAGUAUGUUAAAGUUAGUAAUCUUUAAAAUAAUAUGUUAAAAUCAUUCGUACAAAUUAGUCAGAGAAGUAGCAUAAACACCGCGAUGCAAUUAAUACUUUCAAUCUCAAGGUCUCUAUUAUGGAAAUUUGCAUCGGUCAAUAUACACUUGGCAUAAUAUAAUCUCCCAACUCAUUUCUUUACAAAUGCACCUUUAAUCACCACCAAAAGGUGUGGACAUGAUCUUUACCCUAGAAAACUAUUCACCGACAGGCAAAUUGACGUCAGAAAUACUGAGGAAUUCUAGUUUCCUUCGGGUUCAUGCCAUGUUGUAUCCUUCAACUGUAACUCGAUUUCUAAGCUGUAAUUUGUGACAUAAUAGUCCUUAAACUAUGAAACCCUUCUUACUUAAUUACAAUGGUUAAUACAAUGCCCGUGACUAGACAAGUAUGAAGCAACCAUAACAGAAAAAAAAUCCAAAAUUAGAGAAAAGAAAGAAGUUUCGCGACCACCACCAGUUUACAAGUCACCUCCACCACCUCCUCCAGUUUACAAGUCACCUCCACCACCUUACCAUUAUUCCUCACCACCACCUCCAGUGCAUUCACCCCCACCACCACCAGUUUACAAGUCUCCGCCACCACCUUACCAUUAUUCCUCACCACCACCUCCUGUGCAUGCACCUCCACCACCAAUUUACAAGUCACCUCCUCCAGUUUACAAGUCUCCACCACCACCUUACGAUUAUUCCUCACCACCACCUCCAGUGCAUUCACCCCCACCACCACCAAUUUAUAAGUCUCCCCCACCGCCUCCCCCAGUAUAUAAGUCACCACCACCACCUCCUCCAGUAUACAAAUCACCUCCACCACCUCCUCCAGUUGACAAAUCUCCACCACCACCAAUUUAUAAAUACAAGUCUCCUCCACUACCUCCUCCAGUGUACAAGUCAUCACCACCACCUGCUUACAAGUCUCCACCUCCUCCAGUUUACAGUUCCCCACCACCACCAAUCUACAAGUCUCCACCUCCACCCUACCAUUACUACUACAAUUCUCCUCCUCCUCCUCGUCACUACUAAGCAAUUGUAUCCAAGUUUUUGAGGUAAUAACGCUUAACCAAUAAAUUAACUUUCGCAUGAUAAACCUUAUCUCUAUCAAGACAAACUGCCAUGUGUAUCAUGCCAAAUACGUACACCUAGAUCCAUGAAAAUGAAUGGUAGAAAGUUUUCUUAAGAACCAAGAACAGCAUUAGUAUUCCCUCUGCUUCCAAAAACUUGUGUAUUAAAUAGAUUAAUGAAUUGUUUAACAUGCUCAUCUACUUGAAAAUGCACAAUACCCAUAACCCACUGAAAUUUUUGCAGGAAAAGGGAAAGAGAAUCUGUGUUUGAGAGCUUCAUGAAGAUGUUGAAGAAUAAGAAUAAAAGCCCAAUGCAAGGAUGUUUUCAAGUUUUUCUAUGUUUCCACUUUAAUUUGUAAAUUGAAUUUUGCGACUCAAUUAAUUCCCUGUUUGUGAGGUACGUAUUGUUUUACGUACCAUGCCGUACAUUUUUUUUUUCCAACAAACGGUAUCAUGUUAUAGAUAUUAACACUUGACCUUACAAGGAUUAGUUACAAAAAGGGGAUACUACCCUCAACUCUGUCCUAGCUAAAUCAGUCAGCCAUAUUGGGAAAUUAGUUUCCCAUUCAAUAUCAUGUACAAGCUUCACAGCAUAUUGUGCUAAUUGAUGGCUGAUGUGAUUUUCAGUUCUAGGUAUAAACACAAAAGAACAUUUUUCAAAAGCUAGACUAAGUUCCUGCACAUCUUCUAAGAUAGUUGCAGUCGUGUAGUCAUACUCCUUGCGUUUAGUAAUCUGCUCUACCACUGAUUUGCAGUCUGUAUGGACUAUAAUUUGUGUCCAACCUGCUUGGGUAGCCAUCAGCAGAGCAUUUCUCACAGCCCGAGCUUCCACUUCACUUGCCGAUCCCUUUCCCUGUGUGACAAUUCCUUUUGCUUUCAAAAGCUGUCCUUUCCAAUUUCUUGCUAUAAUCCCUUGUCCGGUCCUGACUCGUUUAGCUGAUAUCGCUGCAUCGGUAUACAGCCUUAUCUCUUCCUUCCUUGGCCGCACUCUCCUGGUAGGUAAGGCAUCAUUCAGCUUCCCUGCGAUCUCCUUCUGGUCUGUACUCCCUACCUGUUCAAACUCAAGCCAUUCCUCCUGUGCUUUCCUUACUAUUUUUACUGGAUCCUGGUUGGCUUGUUCAAAAAAUUUUUUGUUCCUGGCUUUCCAAAUUUGCCAAAGGAUAUUGAUAGUAAGACUAACUCUCUCCUGACCUUGGUUCAGUGCCAGCGAUUGUGUGACUUGUUCCCACCAUAACCAAAAGUUAUAUUGCAUACCCAGUAAUCCAUCCCACCUGACCGGUGCUAGCUUCCACGUUUCCACAGCCUUUUCACAGAAGAAAAACAAAUGCUCAAUAGUUUCCAUAUCUUCACCACAGCAACCACAUCUGCCUUCCCCUCUAUGUAGCCUUUUCGACAUCUGUUCAUUGACUGGCAGACAAUUUUGUAAGCACUUCCACAUGAAGUGUUUUAGUUUGGCCUUCACCUUCAAAUGCCAUAGCUGCUUCCACACAUUUCGUUUUCGUAUCUCCCAACUUGUUUCUGCCUCUUGGCCUGUCCUUGUACCUGCUUUUCCUUCCCGUUGCCUUGCUAAAGCAUAACCAGAUUUCACGCUAUAAAUUCCAGCUUUGGAAUGCCCCCAUACCAACCUAUCCUUUCUUCUUCCUAUACUUGUUGGAAUUCCCUUUAUGUGCUCUGCAUCUUUUGCACAAAACCACUUGAGAAGCAAAUCAUUUUUCCAUUUCCCUUCCUCUAUCAGCUCACUUACCCAUUCCAACUUGCAUCCCACAGGUUGUGUGGUUGAUGCAAAGCCGGUAUCUGAACCAACUAUCCAUCUGUCCCGCCACAUGUUGACUGACUUGCCAUCUCCAAUUCUUUUCCAAAGACCAUCAUACAGAAAGGAGGCUGCACUAUGAAUACUCUUCCAACACCAUGAGGCUGAAGAGACUGGCUUCUUGUCCAUCCAUUUUUCAUCACUCAUAUACUUCGCCUUCAUUACCUUACUUACUAACAAAUUUGGAGCCAUUAAGAAUCUCCAAAUUUGUUUUGCCAGUAAUGCUGUGUUGAAGGCCUCCAAAUCUCUAAAGCCUAAACCUCCUCUUCCCUUAACUUCUAAGAGCUUCUUCCAGCUUGCCCAAUGUACACAGGUACCCUUUUCUCCCUUCCCCCACCAGAAACUCGCUAUUUUACCUGUGAUUUGUCUACACAAACCCCUUGGAAGUCUAAAGCAAGCCAUCACAUAUGUUGGCAUAGCCAUAAUCACUGAUUUGACCAGAAUUUCUUUCCCUCCUUGGCUCAACAGUUUUUGUUUCCAACCUUGCAACUUGUUACUAAUUUUGUUCUGGACAAAUGCAAAGACCUGUGUCUUUGAUCUUCCAAUUGCCAUUGGGAGUCCUAGGUAGGUUCCAUUCCUUGCCUCUUUAAUGUUAUCUAAUACCUCCCUCACUCCAUUCUUCCUUUGAUCAGUGGUAUUUUUGCUAUAGAAGAUAGCUGACUUUUCAAAAUUCACCACCUGUCCGGAUGCUUGACCAUAUCUUUCCAAUAUGCUUUUGACCUUCCUCGCCUCCUGCUUGGUUGCUUGGCAGCAUAGUAGAGAAUCAUCUGCAAAAAAUAGGUGAGAAACCAUCGGACUGUCCUUGCAUAUUUUGAUCCCUGUAAUUUCCUUGUUCAUCAUAGCUUUAUGGAUCAAACAUGAAAGACCUUCAGCGCAUAUAAUAAACAAGUACGGGGAUAGGGGGUCUCCUUGUCUAAGCCCUCUACUCGGUUGAACACAGCCUACCUUUUGCCCAUUUAAGUUGAAGGAGUAAGUCACAGUAGAUAGGCAAGACAUGAUCCAUUUAACAAAAAUUGGACAAAACCCCAUUUUCAUCAUAACUCUCCCCACAUAUUUCCAUUCGACUCUAUCGUAAGCUUUGGACAUGUCCAGUUUAAGAGCCAUAAAUCCUACCCUUCCCUUUCUCCUAUUUUUCAAAAAAUGCAGGAUUUCAUGUGCAACUACUACAUUAUCAAGAAUUUGACGGCCUGGGAUAAAAGCGGAUUGAGAGGGACUAAUACAAUGAUGCAAGACACCUUUCAAUCUAUUAGCUAUGAUUUUAGAAAUGAUUUUAUACAGGACAUUGCACAAGCUAAUAGGUCUAAAAUGCACCACAGAUUCAGGAGUAUCAACUUUAGGAAUCAACGAAAUAAUAGUAUCAUUCACAGCUUUGAGCAAAUGCCCAGUAUGAAAGAAACUCUUAAUAGCUGCUACCACAUCAUCCUUGAUAAUAUCCCAAUAGUGUUGAAAAAAUAGAGGAGACAUACCAUCCGUUCCUGGUGCUUUAUUAGGGUGCAUCGAGAACAAAGCUUUCCUGAUCUCACUUUCCUCCACUUGUCGUAUCAGUUGUCCAUUCAUAUGACUCGAAAUAGUGCUUGGAAUUUCAGCUAGAAUGUCCUCAAAGCAGUCCGGGUUAGUAGUGGUAAAAAGGUCUUUAUAGUACUCACAAAGUUCCUCCUCAAUCUCAUGUUCCUCCUUGCACCAUGUCCCAUCUUUUUUCUGCAAUAUAGUGAUCUUAUUUCUCCUCCUCUUUGCCAUGACCGAAGAAUGGAAAAAAGCUGUAUUCUUGUCCCCUUCUUUGAGCCACUUGUUCCUGGAUUUUUGACUCCAAAACAUCUCUUCCUCUGCAUAAGCUUUAUUCAAUUGUGCUUUUAGUUCAGCCACUUGUACUCUUUUCCCUUCAUCCUUUCUUGCUUUCACUUCAGCCAAUUUCUCCUUUAACACUUUAAUUCUAACCUUUGAGUUUCCCUGCACCUUUUUCCUCCAAUCCAGAAUAGCCAUGCGACAUUCCUUUAUUUUUGUAGCCACUCUAAACAUCCUGGACCCUGACUUCACCUUUGUCCAUGCUCCUUGAAUCACCCUUUUUGCUUCUGGAUUUAGCGUCCAUCGUUGAUCAAAGUAAAAUCUCCGUUUUCUCCUUGUGUUUUCCGGGUUUGUAUCCACAAGAAGCAUUAGAUGAUCAGAGGCUUCAGUAUCUAAAUGAGUACACUGUGCCUUUUCAAAUCUUUGCAGCCAUUCGGUGCUGCAUAAACAUCUAUCCAACCUCUCUUUCACUUCCCCAUCCCCCUCCCAACUAUUGCACCAAAUCCACGGGACCCCUUGAUAACCUAAGUCAACCAGGUUAUUGUCUUUGAUAAACCUGUUGAACUCCCUAAAACAUCUUUCAGCUCUAUCCCUUCCUCCCCACUUCUCCUCACUAGACCUCAAAUCAUUAAAAUCUCCUACAAUGAUCCAGCCAUCCCCCCAGUCCCUCAUCCUGUCCUCUAAAUAUUUCCAUUGUGCUUUUCUAAUGUUACUAUCUGUGCUUGCAUAAACACACACUAGCCCCCAGUAUCCUUUAGUAUCCUUGUCCUCAACUCUAGCACUAAUACACCAAUCAGUACUUACAAUCUGGUCUAAAAUCACCUCAUUGUUCCAGAAUAAUGCUAGACCGCCUGCUUUACCUAUUGAAUUCACAAAAAAGCUAUUGUCAUACUGAAUCUUCCUUUGAACCUUGCCCAUAAACCCUUCCUGAUUCUUAGUUUCACAAAGGAACACCACCUUAGGAGAGUGGAAGUUAGUCACUUCCUUUAGUUGGGGACUUGUCAAGGGGCCUCCUACACCUCGACAAUUCCACACCACAACCUUCAUUUACACUUUGGAGGCUUUCCGGGGCUAGCCUCCAUUUCCCCUAUUGUACUAACAUUUAUUAGAUCCAGUUUCAUAACCUUUACCUUCGGUACAUUAUCAUCAUCCUCCUCUAUCGGUUGUGUUCCCUGAAACAUACCAUCAGCCUUCCUUUUAGCACACGAAACCUGCGUUACUUGUCCAUUUGUAUCUGCCUUUAAGGAUGUUUUAGCCGGCCUCCCUCUUCUUUUAAAACUGCUUCUUUUUUCAGCUUUGUUAUCUUCUUCCCCUGGAGUAGCCUCCUUUCUUGGCAUUCUUGCAUUUGUCUCCUCCUGCUUUAUUGACCCUACCCGCAAACUUUCACAUUCCUGUUUUGAGCUGUCCGUUUCCAUAUCCUCAUAAUCUACUGGUGGGAUUACGCUGCUCCCUCCUUUACUCCCUUCCUGUACCCUACCCUCCUUUUCACCAUUUCCCUCCAUUAAGACCACAGCCAAACUUUCCACCCGUUGGUUUGCCUUUCCAUACUGCCUGCUGUCUUUUAGAAUCUCAUCCCACCUCUCUUCAUAUUGUCUCGUCAUCAUUUUCUCCUUAUCCCCCCUUUCCUUUCCCCCCAAGACUCUACCAUUUUUUCCCCCAAGAGUUAAUGUAUCUCCAGCCAUUUGUACUCCAGUUUGAACUUCACUACUAGGAGACCCUGCCCCCACCCUCCUUGCAUCAAUUUCACUUACUCCUUCCAGCCGUCCCUUUAAGGGAGAUACCAUUAUAUUUCCAGCUCUCAUCCAGGCACCAUAUUGUUCCUCUCGCUUCUCCCCCCCACCCUUCCUACCACAGUACAAGUCCUAUCACUAUGCCCAAUGAUACCACACCUAUAACAGAAAUCAGGGCAGCGUUCAUACCUGAACUCAACCCACACUGCCUGGUUCUUACAGUUGAUCUUUGUCCCUCUAACCAGUGGUUUCGUUAUAUCUACCUCAGCCAUAAUCUUCAUGUGGCGACCCUCUUUCCCACCACUUCCUGGGAGAAUCACUCCCCUCACUGAUUUAAAGAUCCCUCCUAUUUUCAAACCCACUGCUCUGCUCAACCAGUGCACCGGUAGGUUCCAUAGUUGAAUCCAAAGAAAGGAAUGCUGGAAAAAGCUGCUGUUUGUAUCAUACCCCUCUACCCACUCCUUCACUAUCAGCAACUGGUUGUCCAUGACCCAAGGCCCUCCAGAUAAGAUCUUUUUCUUUUCCCCUUCAUCUCCCAGAUGGAAAUGGAAUAAGUUAGGACCUAACUCAGUCACUUUCAUCUUUGAGGGGUAUCCCCAUGCAUGAUUUGUAAAGUUCUUUAACCCCGUAAAGUUGGCAAUUUUUUCACCAAUCAGCUUUCCUACCAGGCUUCCUUGACACUCAGAGACGCCUUCUUCCAGGUCCUCACCACUCAGAUCGACACCUCCUAACUCUGUUUCAGACAAGUCAAAAUUUUGAAAGGCUCUUUCUAAAGCAUCCGCCAUUGCUGUGACGAGAGCUCCUUGAGAAACCAAGCACUAUUUCUGAGCUAUGAGUGACCCACUGACAGACCUGUGAAGAAUUGCAAAGACAGACAAAGCUGUGUUAUCCGUACACACUAAAAACCAACCAGAAAAACAGAGAGGAACUCGACAGAAAAAGCACAGGCACAAGAAGAAACGAAAGAAAAAAGAAAAACCAACAAACCACUAUCCCACUCCCGACCACAUAACAGCAUUAAAGAAAGGGACACAAAUACGACACUCCAACUUCCGAUCACAUGCUCUGACUCAAUGGAUCAUAUCUUGCCCAAAGCGUUUACUCCUCCAACCGAUUCCAAACCACUACAGACAUUGUCUCCCAUUUUGAAGCCGGAAGAAAGGUGGCUUCUGGACAGGGAACAUGAAAGCAAAGGUUGAACUAAAGAUUUGAUUUUAGAUCUGAAAAUUACGCUGUAGGAAAAAGUGCUAUGUGUUUGUACCUCACCCACUCUCCCACACCGAGGAGGGGAACCUCUAAAGUUAGAGAGAGAAGCUCUCAAGUUAGAGAGAAGCUUUGGAAGUUAAUUACCAACGUACCAUGCCGUACAUGUUUGUAAGGAUUUCUAUCCUAUUGGCAAAAGUCGGUUCCAUACAAUUAAUCAAUUCAUUUCACUUCUAUUGGCUCUACUAUUUAUGCAUGUUACGACACUCUUUCCCUUAUAUUUUGCCUUUAAUAUUAUGAGUCAAUAGUAAUAAUGGGCCUUUUUCUUAAAAUUAUACUAUUAUACAUAGGUAGUUUGGUCUAACGCUAAAUUCAUGUUUGUCUUUCUUUUAUUCCCUUUACAUCUCAAAGUAUACUAUAGUUUGUAAUCAUUGUGGUGAUGAUAUUACCAGCUGGUACUUAUAGUUUAAGGCAGAGACAUGAUAUUAACAACUAUCUCAUUGAAACAUAAGUCAAAAUCAUGACAAGUGUGAGUCUUGGUUAAUGCACAAUUUGUUAGUGGAAUUUAUAUUUAUAAAACUCAAAAAAAAUUUUUGACAAUGCUAUUACUAAUUAAUUAAGGACUUCAUUGCUAUAAUUUAUCGCUUACUAAUUUAAACUAUAAAUGAUCUCAAUACUUUUCUCCAUGAUGUCGAUUUCUUUAGACUACGAAAGGGAAAAAUUAGUGACAUAUCCCUUACUGAUUACAACAUCAGCAAAAAUUAGUUAUAAACUUUUCCGGUGGUUUUAAAUCCCUCGGGCACUAAGGUUUUUUGCACAUCGAGUGAAUUAAGGAACAUAGGCAAUUCGUUCUGCAUACCAAGUCCUUGUUUAAGAUGCACGUACUAAAAUGCAUCCACUUCAUUAAUUUGGAAAAUUGCCAUAGUUUUUUUUAAGCAUUUUGAUUUUUUACAUGAUUCAAAAUUUUCUUAUUGGAUACAAUCACUUUGUGUCAAGAACACAUUUUCAAUCAUCUUUUUUAUCUUCUCAAUAAGAAAAUAAAAAUUUAUUCAUGCUUUUCUAACAUAUCCAAUCAUUGAUCUGAAAAAUAAAGAAUUAAAAAAAAAAGACAUUUUCAAUCAUUGCUUACGGGGCAACUUCCCCAUGUGAACCUCAUCAAACAAAGCCAAUAAUAUGAAGGAACAUCUAAAUACACUUUUGCCCUAAAGGCUGGUUGCCUUGGGGUCAAAAUUUAACCUUCGGGAGUAUAAUUACCCGCCAAAUUUAUUAUUUUUUUUAUGGGUAUAUAGUUCCAAUUUUGCCUCCUGUUAAGCUUAUAAAUAUAUUACGACCCAGAAAAUAAAGGAAUCUUGAAUAGUAACAUGUCCAUUGACUUGAGUUGUUAUCAAUUUGGCUACUUCGAUUCCAUGAGGCCAAUCCAAUUCACACUAGCUAGAGAAAAUGGUGAUAAAGGCACUUAGAAAUUUAUAUGUAAUAUUGAUUGGUAGUAACUGAUAAGUAUAUAUUUUACGUGUUUUAAAUAUGUUUUAUUAGUUAGUUUUGGUGUGUUUUAACUACUUUUAUAACUAAUUAACUAGGAAUCUAGUGAAAAUAUGCAUUUUGUGGUUUGAAGUGUAAAAAUUGUAUUUCUAUGGAUUUUAAUGGUGAAAACUUCAUGUUUUUGUAGGUUUAAUGAUUCAAUCAUCAAAUGACAUGAUUUGAGAAGAUAAUUAGAUGAUUGAUGAUGUUUUGAAGUGAUAAAAAGAGAAUACAAAGUGCAAGAGAGGAAAUGCAAUCAAGAAUAAAAGAAGAAAAUUUUUGUAGCUUUGACAUAUUGUCGUAUUUCGGCAAUAUAUUGAGCUACAAUGAUCGGAUUAAGGUGAUUCUUAAACCAUUUGAAGCUAAAAUAUAGAUCUACAUUUGGCAUGAAGGCAUCGAAACCCAUGUCAGUCAUUUUCCUUGUCAAAAUGUUGAAAUACAGAAGUGCAACUCUGUUCUCGAAAGCUAAAACAGAGCUCUGGCUAGUCGAGGGUAUUUUCAUCAUUUCUUAGUCCACAGAGCUCCAAAUGAGAUGAUUCUUAAGGCAUUAGAACCCUAACUCAAAGAGCUACAACUUUCAUAUUUUGUACAAGAGUUAGUUCGGCCUCUAUCAUUAAGAAAAUAGUAGUUGAAGUGGUGCCAAAUGCAUAGAAGUGAAAACGCGAGCUAUCAAUACUCGACCUGAAGUCGCGUAUUCCUGAGGUCAUGCAUUCUCUUCUAUUUUCUGCAACUUGCCCUGCUUUCACAUAACUUUUUCAUCUCAAUUCCAACUAUCAAUUUCGGCUAUAUCUGAUCAAGAAAAGUGUGGAAAGUUUGAAAGACAACUCAUAGGAGUUUCAAGAGUCAAAAAUUACAAUUAGAAACAACUCAUUUGGCUCUUGAAUCCUCUAUAAAUAGAGGCCUUUGAAGAACAUUUUCACAACUUUGGAAGGUUAGAGAAACUCCACAAAAACAUAGUCUUCACUAGAAUUUCCUUAGUUCAUUAGUUAGGGUAGUAUAGUAUAGUUAGUGUAGCUUUUCCUUCUUGUAUUUAUAGUUAGGUUUGAAUGAAGAUUCAGGAGCAAAGAUAGAGAGGUUGAUCUCAUGUGACAAGGGUGAUAUCUCUUCUACUACUUUCUCUUUUGUAUUUGAUUUCAUAUUUAACUAUACUACAAAUUUGGCUUUGUUUUUUUUUUUUUAUCAUGUUUAGUUAAAGUUUAUGCCUAGAGUAUGGAUGACCUUUUUAUAUCUUGUUUGUGAUAUUUAACUGGUUAUUUGAUGAUGUUAUUUUUGAGCAAGUUAUUUAUCACUUUUGCUUUUCUAAUCAUGAUUAACUGGCCAUUAGUUGUGAUUAUCUAAAAGUGUUAAGUUUGUAAUGAGAAUUGGAGUUUAACACUAGUUCAAGGAAGUGAUAAAUUUAGGGAGUUCACUCAUGAGAGUAGAGGAACACCUUUGUGACCUAAGUGACUUGUUUCAUAUAAUUUCAUAGAAAAAAUGAACUUGUAAUUAAUUUCAUAACCACGAGAGUAAGUAUGGUUUAGCUAUAUGUAUAGUUGAUUCACUACGAGAGUAGGUUUCACAUACAUUAGAAAAUUACAUCAUAACUAGUCAAGAUAAUAUCAUUCAUUUAAUCAGUAAUCUCAUUUGCAUGAGUAGUAAGGCAUUCCAUAUCUCUAGGAGGUUUUUAGUAUUAUUUUCAUUACUUUUAUGUUUAUGGUAGUCUAGAUAAUAAUGGAGUUCGAAAACUACUAGUAAUUGAAAAUUUUCCCUGUGGGAUCGACCUUUAAUACCCUAUACUCGCUCUCGACUCGUAUACUUGAGAAAAAUCACGUGUGCGGUAUUUAGAAUUUAUAAAUGUAAAACUUGACUGUAGAUGAACUAAUUGAUAUAUGUAUACCCCGCACUCGUCAGUAACCAGCUUGUAUUGAUCCCACUAUUGUGGAUAAUUGUGCUCUUAUGAAAAAAAAUUAUAAAAAAAUUAGCAAAAUUUAUGAUAACAAAUUAAAUUUAUUCAUACAAAUCAGUGAAAGAAGUAGAAUUUUAAAGUCCAUGAUGAAAUUAAUACUUUCAAGGGCUCUAUUAGGAAGACUUCACUUGUUGGUGAAACUACACUAGCACAGUUAUAUGCACAUUUACUGUUUUGGUAUCUAAUUUCCUUGCCUUAAGUUGGGUGCAGAUGUUUAUAUUACAAAUAGAUGGUAUCAUAAAAUUGUUGUAUUCACGUUUGUUCUUUUUUUUCUUCCUUAAGUUUUUUUCUUUAUUCUCGUGACUUCAAAAAUACGAACUCAAGAAAUUGGCUGCUUAAUCAAUAUGUCAUACAGGCUUCGCUAGUGAGGUAUAACUUCACAACUAGAGUCAAUAGAAAUUAUCAAAUGAUUUUUUAACAUCCAAAUUAAGCAAUAAAUUUUGUUUUCAUUUUAUGACAUAUAAUAGUACUACUUCAUGAGAGAUUUUAUAGUUUCUUUUAGGUAUCAUACCUACAAGUGAUAUUUGUCAUUGGAUAGUGACAGAAGUGUUAAUGAUUGUAAGAUUAAAUAUUGUUAAAUAUUGAAAUUUAAACUAUUUAUCUUUAUUGAAAGAUACAAGUUAAAGAAUCGUUCAAGGGGGCAAUUUUCCAUCUUGUCUUUUUGAAAAAACGCUAUCACAUUGUAUAGGCAUGAUAGGUUCAAAUUUGUCAUUAAAUUUAUGAUUGAUUUUCCUUUUAUUCAAGCCAAAUAUUGUUUUAAUUAUCAAAUUCUACUUAUAUUUGGUUAAUUGUACUAAUUGUAGGGCGGUAGAGCAAAAGUUGCUAAAAAUAGGCGAUUUUCUGCAAAUUGGUUGUCAAGGCUGAAGGAUUUGGGAUUCGCAUGUUCAAGGCCUGUUUCCAAGUUUGAUUCAAACUCUGGACAGUUUUAGAGGAAGAUUUGGAAGAUUUGAAAUUUCAUUAUUAGUUUUAUGGUUGAAUUAGGAAUCUUGGAAUAAUUUCUUUUGUGAUUUAUUUUUCUAUUUAGGAGACUAGUUGUUAUUUAGUAGUAGACUUCAAUUAGAAAACAAAGAGAAAAAGAAGGCCGGAAUCCCGCUUGAUUAAUACCUUGGCCAGGGAACAAUCUCGGUGGGGAGGACGGCCACUUAGCCUCUCAAUUCAUCUUGCUUUUCGUUAGUUUGAGAGGAAAACCAAUUGCAACUAGAUUCAAUGGAGUCUGGCAGAAUUUCUUCUAGGAUGCGUAGCUAAAUCCUCAAUUUUUAGUCGAAGGUCAAUUUGAAAAUUCGGUUCCAAAUAUCUGUGAAAUCGAAUUAUUUUACUUAUUUCUUUUAUUUAUUGGUAUUCGCACGUUUUCUGAUUUAACUUUUUAUGAUUGUUUUGUUAUUUGAAUGUCAAGGGUCCGAUAUUCGAAUUAACUUAAUAAUCUACUGCCAAAUUAACCGGUUAAAUCCGUAAUUGUUUGAUUGAUUAAUAUCAGUGGCGACUAGCGUGAUUGGUCCCAUGUUAGGAAAACGUCUGAUCUAAUUUAAACAAACCGUCGUAGCGUGUUUGUUGAUUAGGGUUGGGCUUUUCUAAUUCUUAAUUCAAUUGAGAAAUUAAAUCCCCCGGUCGUACCUAGGAUUAUUUUUUUGUUAGCGAAAUAGUUAAUGGUCGUACCUUGACUAUCGAAAAAGUAAGGAAGAGUUGAUUGUUUAUCGCGUGUACGACAACUAUAAUCAAUCUAUUAAUGAGUAAUUGAAUUAUCUUUGCAUCAGUAAUCAGUUGAAUGGACCGUGUCUGAAAAGUUGUACCUUUGGCUAGAGUCUUAUCUGUUGUUGAUUCAUUCAUAUCUAUCUUCAUGCGUUGUUUUAAUUUAGUUAAUUAGUUAUUUUUAUAAAAACCCCUCAUCUCUGGACUCUAAAAGAAAUAAAUUAUUUCUAGUUCCUGUGGAUUCGAUCCUACUCACCAUACAAUCCAACCUGCAAUUGUAUGAACCCCAAUCUCGCUUCCUAGUCCACCAUUUUUCUCUAGGUAAUAAUCUCCCUUCUAAUUUCUUCACAAAAUGCACCUUUCAUCACCUCCAAUAGCGUCGACAUGAUCUUUACCCCAGAAGACUAUUCACCGACUCUCAAUUGACGUUAGAAAAUCUAAGAGUAAUUCUACUUUACCCUAAGAUUGAUAUCAACAAGACAAGGACAAUUUAGAAUUAUUACACGCCUCUUCUUAAUAGGAAAAAGAAAUAGAGAAGAAAGUCAGGCCAGGUCUAAUUUCUUUUCAAAGGCAAUACAACAUUACGAAAUCAAGCAUUCAUUCAUACAAAUAUUUCAUAGUCACCGGUUUGCUGAGUAGAAAAAUUUAGACAAAAACUUAAUAUUAUAUUGUUUAAGAGUUAACAAUUUAGAGCUUAAUCUCCUUGUACUUUGGAGUUAACAAUUUAGAGCUUAAUCUCCUUGUACUUUGGACUAAACUUGAACGUGAAAGGAAAUCCCAAAACCAUAUUGGGCAUGAAUUCACACUUAAUAUACCCAAUAAAAGAUGGCGACUGGUGAAAGGCAGUGGAGACUGGUGGAGAGAUUUGAGGAAUAGAAGCAGACGGAAAAGCAACAAAUUUUUGCCGAAAAACGGUCACUUUCAUGGUUAAUUUUGCUACUCUCCAAUUGUACUUGACCAAUUACAACAAUUUCAUGGAGUUUGAUACGUGAAAAGAAUUUUUUAUAAAUUUUAUUUUGAUCCAUAAUGUUAUCUUUACAUAUAUAAAACAUUUUACAAUUUUGAUUUUGGCGCAGUUAACUUUUGGUAAACAAAAAUGCUCAUGUUUAAAAAACCGGAAAUAAAACAAAACAAGAAACAAAAGAAAUAAGAGGGUAGCAUAGACAUUUUGGAUUUUUCCGUUAAUUUGGAUGAUUUCCACCCACGUUCUAAUUUAAUCCAAAACACAAAGGAAUUACGUAGAGGUUUUAAAUAAUGAGGGAGCUUCAUGAUCGAACCCCAAACCACAAGGCGAUUUACUAUAUUUUACUCUUAAAUUUUGGUUUCAUCUCAUAGCAUACAAGAGUUCUAUUUCACUAUCUGUAGACAAAGACUUUCUAUGGUUGAUGUACCAUAGGAAAAAAUCUGCCUAUACAACGUGAUAGCAUUUUUUCAAAAACACAAGAUGGAAAAUUGCCCCCUUAAACGGGGAAAUUCAUGAUCUUUCCUCGAACAAAGAAUACUCACGCCUAUUCAAGAUGGAAAAUUGCCCCCUUAAACGUCUAUUUGUCAAUUCUUGAAAAAAGAAUACUCACGCCUAAAACACGGCCUCUUCAUCUGCAGAAUUCUAAAAAGUUAGGUAAACUCUAUAAACAAGUUGAUAGGUACAAUCGUACCCAAGAUCAAGUACAGAUAGUUGUACAUUCACUGCUGCAAUAACUAAUCUGAUGACUUACAAACAUAUCAUGGUCAAUCGUUGAAUGGUAAUGAGUCUUUUGUUAUGCAUUAGUAUUAGUGUGUACACUCUAAUAGAUUGAUACUUAUACUCUUUAAAUUAUCAUAAUAAUACCCUUAAUUAACUUUAACUCUUAAAAAGAAUACGUGUUAAUACACGAGAGUGUGUAACCUGAAUUGUUACUUAUACAUUAGUGUGUAAUAGAUAGGGAUGGCAAUGGGGGCGGGUGCCCGCAGGCAACCGCCCCGCGGGGGGCUCUCGGGGCGGGGAGGGGGGAAUUUUUUCCCCCCGUUUAGAAACGGGGCAGGGGACGGGGGAGUAUACCCCCGCCCCAUCCCCCGCAAAAAAAAUUAUAUAUAUAUAAUUAUAUAUAAUAUGUAAUUUAAUUAGUUAUAAACUUAUGAUAAUGAUAUUAUUAGUUAGAUGUAUUAUAUAAUGUAUAUUAGUGUAUGUAAUAUAAUUAAUAUUAUCAAUUAUACGAAUAAUUAGACAUGUCUACUAAUAGAAUUUAUUAAUUAGUUAUACUAAAUUUACUAAUACAUUUAUACUAAAUUUCUAAUUACAUUUAAUAGAAUAACACUUUUUUCUAAAAAAAAAAGCACAAACACAAUAAUGAAUUAGUGAUUGUAUUUUUACCAAAAAUGAAAACUUAACUAUUUUAGUUGCAUUUAUUUCAUCAUGUUGGAUUGUAUUCAAAUAAUUUUUGUUUGAUUGUUUUUAUGAGUUUCAAUUGUAAAAUUAAAAUGAAUAAUAACUUGAUGAAUAAUAAUGUCAAUCGUUGAAUGGUGUGUACACUCUAAUAUUAUGCAUUAGUAUUAGUGUGUACACUCUAAUAGAUUGAUACUUAUACUCUUUAAAUUAUCAUAAUAAUACCCUUAAUUAACUUUAACUCUUAAAAAGAAUACGUGUUAAUAACUCUUAACCUGAAUUGUUACUUAUACAUUAGUGUGAAAUAGAACGGCAAGCAUUGAGCAACUUAUAGGAGAAAUAGUCCUAUAAGCUGUUGGAUGACUAAUAUAGCUCUAGCUGUAAUGUUUUAAUUAAAUUACAUCACUAACGUUGGGAUGACUAAUGGUUUAAAAAUAAUUGAGUAAUUGGAAAAAAAAAAAGAGACUAAUUUUCAUUGAAACCCACCGACAAACUAAACGUGUCCAUGGCUUUUGAAUAGUGCAUUCAACGUUUAAUUGUAUAGUCCAGUUCAUUGCAGAUUACAUGGAGUAAAGAUUGUGCUCUUUCCUUUUUCACCCCUUUUGGAAUCGAUACUGUGGAGAAUUGGGUUUUUCCCUUCUUUUUUUCUUUUCUUUCUUUCUGUGCUUUGCAAAACAUAGGUAAAAUUAUGAAAUCCGAAGCAUUCUUUAAUUGGGAUUAAGUAUUGUUCUUGAAAUUAAAAAGAAGAAAGAAAGAACAACAAAAUUCCCUGAUUGGUUGCAUCGUGCUUCCAUAGAAGCUCUCUUAGUGUGAUACACUGCUUUCAAUCAGUUUAACAUGGAAAAAAGAAAGAGAUGAAAAGCAAAUUUGGUGGGGAUAAUUUCAGAAACCUCCCCUGAAGAUUUUGACUAUUCUACUGGUCUCCCUUCAGAUUUUAAAAAUUACACUAAUCUUCCUUGAAGUUAUAACAUUUAAAUUCAAUCAAUAAUUUAAAAAAUGAUAUUAUGAAAGAGAAAAUAAUAUGAUUUUAUCAUUGCCCCCCAUCUUACUACAUUAUUUAAUUAAUUUAAUAGCAACCCACACAUUAAAGAAAAAUAUAAAAUUUGUUAUUUAUCAUUAAAGAUCAAAUCGCUUAUAACAUCAAAUAAUAGUAUAUUAUUUAUAUUUUUCACUUAACAUAAUAUCCAAAUUACUCUUUUCAAUUACAUACUCAUUGUUAGACAAUCAACAACAAAUAACCAAAAAAUUUGCAACCAAAAUAUUACAAAAAAAAAUAAACUUUAACAUCAUAAAUAUUCUUAUCAACAUAUUAAAGUUAGUUACUGAAAUUUUUAUGGUGUUAAACUUCACUCUUUGUAAUAUUUUGGUUACAGAUUUUUUUUGAUUAUUUUUUAUUAAUUAUGUUUGAUGAUGGGUUUGUAAUUGAAAAGAAUAAUUUAAAACUUACAUUAAGUGAAAUAUAUAGAGUGAUAUACUAUUUUUUAUAACAUAUGUGAUUCAAUCCUUCUUGAUAGGAUUGGUAAUAGAGGUAGAGGGGGGAGUCGGCUGCAUCCGGUCUUCUUUUCAUAGAUAGUACAAUAUUGCGAAAUCAAUCGCAUUCACACAAUAAUAUUUCGAAGUCAAUGCAUGGCUAAGUUGCAUAAAAGUACGAACACUUGUUAUUAUAUAGCUUAAGAUUCAAAACUUUAGAGCAUAACCCUCCACCUAACACAAUUGAAUAAUGAAUAUUCACGUUUGUCAAAUCUGUCAAAGCACAGUUUGAGGACAACCCAUUCCAACCUGCAAAAGAUUUUUUACUUUUCUAAAGUUGUUGAGAGCUGUAAAAAGACCUACCAUGCUUACAUCCUCCGAGCCUUGGGAGUUAAAAAUGAAGGCACUGAGUGCUAUAAAAAGGGGGCUAGAGGCUGCCUAGAAGCAUAUCAGCCUAAAACAAGAAUUUGUUGUUAUGAUGGGAAGCAAAGCAAAAGCAAUGGGGUCUGGGCUGACUCCUCUUCUUGCCACUGUUUUAGUGGUAUUUGUUGCUCUUGGCUUGCCCUCAGAAACAGCAGCUGAUGAUCACUACAAGUAUUCAUCUCCUCCUCCUCCUUACCACUAUCCCUCACCACCGCCUCCAGUGCAUUUACCUCCACCAGUGUACAAAUACAAGUCCCCACCACCACCUCAUCAUGUUUACAAGUACAAAUCUCCACCACCCCCACCACCACACCCAGUUUACAAGUAUAAGUCACCACCACCACCUCCUCAUCCGGUACCACACCCAGUUUACAAGUAUAAGUCACCACCACCACCUCCUCAUCCGGUAUACAAGUAUAAGUCUCCUCCGCCACCACCACACCCAGUUUACAAGUAUAAGUCACCACCACCACCUCCUCAUCCGGUACCACACCCAGUUUACAAGUAUAAGUCUCCUCCGCCACCAGUUUACAAAUAUAAGUCUCCUCCACCACCACCUCCAGUGUACAAGUACAAGUCUCCACCACCACCAGUUUACAAGUACAAAUCACCACCACCUCCUCCCCCAGUUUACAAAUACAAGUCUCCACCACCACCAGUUUACCACUACAAGUCACCACCACCUCCUCACCCAGUUUACAAGUACAAAUCUCCUCCACCACCAAUUUACCACUACAAGUCACCACCACCUCCUCCCCCAGUUUACAAAUACAAGUCUCCACCUCCUCCUCACCACUACUAAGCAAUUGCUUCUGAGGUAAUAACACUUGUUCAAUAACACUUGAUAGCCAGCUGAAUAUUUGCAGGCAAAGGAGAAGGAAACCAGUGUUUGAGACCUUCUUGAAGAUGUAGAAGCAUAAGAAUUAAAGCCCAAUGUGAAGAUGAUGAUUUCAAGUUUUUCUACGUUACCAUUUCAAUAUCUAAAUUGGUUGUAGCGCCUUAGUUCCUUUGUUUAUGGGAUUUGUAUCGUUUUACGUACCAUGCAGUACAUGUCAUGUUUGUAAGGUUUUCUAUCCUGCCGGCAAACCGCAGGUUCCAUGUAAUAAAUCAAUACUAUUUAUAUUACGACACUUUUCUCUGUUUCUCUUAUAUUUUGUCUUUAAUAUUCUUAAUCAUAUUUUUAACAAAAAUAUUCAAACACUUCAGCAAUGGUUCACCUAGUUGAUCAUCGAAGCAGAGGCAAUUCCAAUUAUUUAUCAAUAAAUAGGAUAUAACUACCAAACAAGCGAUGGCAGUUAACCCCUCCUUACUGUGUCGGUGAUCAAGGUACGCCCGUUAAUCACUGCUCUAAUUGAGAAAUAAUCCUAAGUACGCCCGUAGAAUUUAAUUCCCCAAUUGCCUUACAUAUUAGAGGAGCCCUAUUCUAACCAAAUAACGCACUAUCAGGGUUAUUUUAGAUUAGCCCGCGUAUUCCCCUGACAUAAAUCUAAUCAUGCCAGUUGUCAUUAUUUUGAGGUAAUUAAACAAUUACGGAUUUAACACCUCAAUUGACAAUAGAUUAUUAAAUUAAUUAAUUAUUCGGAUCCAAGACAAUCAAUUAAUUAAACAACCAUAAGCACUACAAUCAGAGAAUAUGCAAAUACCAAUAAAUAAAUAAAAAAUAAAAUUAAAUCGAUCUCACAAUUUUUAGGCGAAUCAGAGCAUCCGUUGUCCCUUGACUAGAGCAAGGAAAUUAGUUCAUAUUUGAUGAACUAAACCCAUACAAAAGGGAAGCGAGAAAUGCAGCCAUUAUCCUUUGAAAUCUGGAAAAUUCAACUUGUCCGAAUAUCGAAUAGAUAGUAAUACUACAAAAGGUAAUUCAUAGCUUCCCUUUCGUCUGACACACAAGAAGAAAAAAAAGGGCUGCUAAUAACUAAAGGAGGAAAAGUCAAAGUCCUAAGCUAUGCUACAAGACGAAAAACUAAAGAAGACAAAAAGGCAGUGCUCAUUCCCUGCAAUCUCAAUUCCUAUUCUAUCUAAGUGCUCUCCAAUGUGCGGCGGCUCCCCUUCCGGAGAGGACGAAGUGGCACCCUUUUUUCCUGCGCAAUUUUCCUAUAUAAAGUAGUGCUCCUUGCAGCGGCUCCUGUGCGAAAAAAUGAAGACUUCGGCCCAAUUUGCCUAACAAGGGCUCACGUUUUGUUGUUCUAAAAAUGUCCCUAGGACAAACUCUAUCAUCUGAACUCUUUUCUUGCCAAAUUAGUACCUGUUAUUAUAUUUUCGUUCUACUCCCUGAAAUAAAUGCAAAAUAUCAAAAGUGAGUAGAAUCUAGCAAUUAAUCCACAUUAGGUCAGGUAAUAGGGAAAAUUAAUAAUAAAAUAAAUGAUAAAAUUGCAAUCUAUCACGGGACCACUGUGGUAAGGUGUGUUUCGCCUAUUAUAAGGAGUUCGGAGAGUUAGACGUGUUGGAGGCGGAGGCGCGGUCACUCCUGCACGCCCUCCAGCUGUGUGCAGAUCGCGAGGUACGGGCGUUGACUGUAGAAUCUGAUUCAAAGGUGCUUGUUCAACUAGUUUGCUCGGAUAUGAGGUCGAAGUGGCCGGUGUGUAUCGUAUUGCGGGAAAUAAGACAUUUGAUCCGGCGGAUGGGUGCAUCCCUUCAUCAUAUAUUCCGUGAGGCCAAUUCGGUGGCGGACGCAUUGGCUUCUCUGCAAUUGGGAGGGCAGCAGUACUACACCUCAGGCGUGGCGCUGCCUUUCAGGCCCAGAGGAGAGGCUCUGCUGGAUCGUCAAGGAGUACCUCGCAUCCGUGAGGCGCUCACUAAGGUUUGAUAGGCUAUGUCCUCCUUUCAAAAAACUUAUUUCAUCUACUCCUUGUAAUCAUUUUUCUUAUCAAUAAAUUGAGGCUUUUUAUUUAAAAAAAAACAUAUAAUUUAAGGCAAAAAUAUGAUCCUAGCGAGUAUCGCACUGAGACAUUAGGAAACAUCAUUAAAAGAGUAUUUCUUGAGUUAGUGCAACUAUUUCUUAGGGGAAUUUAUAGUUACAAAAUUCAAAAAUUUGAGAUUCUAUUACUGAUUAAUUAAGGGCGUUAUCACUAUUUUUCUUAUUAUCACCAUUAUUUACCCCACAUACUAUAAGUUUUUUUAGGGCACAGGAAAAGAGGUGGGCCGAUGUUUAGUUAUGUACAAAAGUUCAAAAUUUGUAGAUAACUUAUCAUGUGCCCUUAGAGCGUAGAAUACAGAAAAAAUAUCUUAAACUAUAACUAAUCCUAAUAUUUUUCUCUAUGAUAAACUAGCUCUUAUCCAUUUCUUUAGAUGAUGAAAGGAAAUAGUUAGUCACCUGUCCUCUAGUGAUUACAACAGCAUCAAAACAAAUUAGCACUCUUUUCCCGUAGUUUAAAAAUCCCUCAGCCACUAAGAUUUUGCAUGUCGAACGAAUUAAGGAACAUAGAAGGUUCGUGCUGCACCACAGUGUCCUUGUUGACGAUGCAAAGACAGAAAUGCAUCCGCGUAUACUUCCUUAAGCAUUUUGAUUACUUUAUGAUUCGAACUUUUCUUGUCUGACAGCUGGACUUAAUUGAAAAACACAAGUAACAAUAUUUCAAAGUUGAUUCGUCAAAGUUUACCCAAUUGGUGAAACUUUCUUCAUAGAGCUGACUUUGUAUUAGGUGACAAUGAUAUGGAAUUGAUGUCCUUCCCUUUUUCCUUUUUUUGUGUUGAAGACGCACAACGUUUUCAAUGGCAAAUUUAUAUGGGCUUUUCACGACAAAAUGUGUUCUGAAAAGUUCAUUCCAGAGGUUAAAAUUUUGUGUGUUAAAAAUUUGCUUCUCAGGACUUUGAUGGGAAAGUCUUGGUGUUUCCAAAAAGUUUAAGCAGGAUGCUUCUGGCUUUCUCUCCAUGUAUUUGUGAGUUAGAUCUAAAAUUAUCAGGGCUCCAGAGAUCUCUUGAAAUCGCAGCAUAUAUUGAAGUCUUUCCAGAAGGAGUCUUUUUUUUUUUUUUUAUGAAUUAUGAUAGAUAAUUAAUCUGACGGUGCAUAUAUAUAUAUAUGUGAUUUGCAGUAGGGUGUUUGACGAAAUGGUUAGGCUUCCUAAGUAAUGAUAGGAAUGCCAUUUGCAAAGAAGGACAGGGGGCUGGUGCUGUCAUAUUUUAUGCGAUUUGAUCCGUUGUUGUAUAAGUUUAAACUUUUGACGUGCAAUUGUGCUAUAAUAUUAUACUAAAUAUAUGUGUGAAAUAUUUUGUCUAUAUACAUCACUUUUAUCAUGAAUACAACAGCUGAGUAUAAUAAUAUAGUAUAAUGUAAUUGUACACCAAAUAAUGUAGCAAAUAUAACAAUUGAUCCGAAUUACACGGAACCAUAACAACAAGAUCACCGCCUCCCAAAUUUUACAAAAUUAGGUUUUUUUUUUUUCUCUUAGAUUAUUGAAAAUUUUCAAAAAUAAUCUACAUAAUUUAAGCUUUUGUCCUACAAAAAUUUGAAGAGAUUUUACAUUACAAGCUUAAGCUUAGAUAUAUUAAACUUUGCCCCCAAGAUUAAUUUUCCGUUUUUAUCUAUGAACCGAUCCAUAUAGCUAGUUAGACUGUAGUCCUCACAUUUGUGGGAUUUAACACCCAAGAUUCUCCUUCUUGGAAUGUAAAAUGUAGAUCUUCUAUGUUAAUAAUUCAAGACCCUACUGUCAUAAACGAAAUGACUGAUCAACUCCUGUAAACCUAAUUUGACAACAUUUAAAUGGAGAACUUUAGCUAAAAGAAUUAUGGUCAAGCUAAAGAAAAAGCCAGUUAUUUUCCAACAUAUGCAAUCAUUGAUCAGGAAAAAAAAAAAAAAGCAAAAAGACAUCUUCAAUCAUUUAAUAGCUCACAGUGCAAAUUAACCCCUAAGCGAAAACUGGUUGCUCUAGAAUCAAAAUUUUACCUUAGUUACCCAGGCAACUUUUUUGUUGCUUUUUUUUUUUUCUUUUCCUUUUUGGGUAUAUAUAUAGCUCCAGUUUUGCCCCCUCUGUCAAGCUUAUAUAAUUAUUAAGAUAAUAAAAGUGCCUUGAAUAGUAUUAAUAUAUCCAUUGACUUGAGCUGUCAUCGAUCGGUUUGGGCUACUUCGAUUCCAUGAGAACAAAUGGUAAUAAAAGUACUCAGAAAAUAGGGAGCCAUGAAACCCUUUUGUUCUAUUCAUUGCUAAGAUGCUUUUCUCUAUAAAGAGACUUCCUAACGAAAGUACUUUGUAGAUUUCUUUACUCCAAGUGGUGCAUGGAAAAUUAAAAUAUUCAAUUAUCAAAUAAAAUUCCCUUUUUUCGGUGUAGAUUUCAUCCAUCCAGCUGUUAACACAUUUUAUGUAUCCGAAUUAUAUAUUCUCUACCAAAUAUUGUAACUUUUCUGAGCAUCUUUACAUUUUUAUUCCCACCUAACAAAUUAGUUGUUGAGCAUCUUUACAUGCUAUCGGAUCACAAGUUAAUAAUCUUUUAAAGAACAUGUUAAAUUAAUUUAUUGGUAUGAAUAGUCAAAGAAGUAUAUUAAAGUUAGUAAUCUUUAAACACCACGAUGCAAUUAAUACUUUCAAGCUCAAGGUCUUUUUUUUUUUUUUUUUUGGUACUGUACUUCCUUGCUUUAUAGUAUGCACGUUUAUUUCUGUGGAUUGCUUAAGCUUAUAUUGUUAAUAAUUGGGCAUUUAACCAUAAAUUAUAAUGAUUAUGAAGUCAUAUAUAUAUAUAUAUAUAUAAGAAAAUUACCACAAUUAUUCAAUUUUUUUUGCAAAUUCAAAUUUUAUUAAUAAGAAAUAGGCAGUAAGCUUUUACAAACGGAAAAAAAAAAUCCUACAACAACUCUAGGACCUUUGAAAGAAAGAAAAAAAAAAGAAAAGAAAAGCUUAAGGACUCUACCUCAUAGAAGCUAAACAAUCCUACAAAUAAACUGCAAAAUAAAUCACAAUAACGCAAAAUUUUUGUCUUUCUUCCGUAUGAAAUGAAACUACGAAGUCAAGAAUUGACUCCUUUAACCGCUAUUGCCAGCGGGCUCCGUCAGCAAGAUACAACUUUGCAAUUUGAUUCAAUAGAAAUCCUCAAAUAGCUAUUUUGACAGGCAAAUUAAGCAUUAAUUUUGGUAUCCCUUCAUAAAAUACAAGAGUACUUUUGAUUAUAUCUAUAGAUCAACUUUCUAGGCUAUUUUGAUGUAUUAUAAGAAAAUCUGCCUCAACAAUUUUGAUAGCAUUUUUCCAAAAGCAGAAGAUGGAAAAUUGCCCAUUUGUACUGGGGAGUUCGUGAUCUUUUCCUCCUUCUAGUCUACUUACAAUUCUUGGAAAAAGGAAUACUCACAUCUCAAACAACUGCCUGUUCAUCUGCAAUGUCCUGCCGAAUUCUAGAAAGUUAGGUGGCAAUGCUAAUUACAUUUCAAAAUUGACUGCUGCGAUGACUAAUUCGAUGGCUUACUACAUGGUCAACGUUUGGAUCCCUUCCUGUCCUUUUUGGAUGCACAUUUUUUUUCUCUAGGCAAUAUAUAAUCUCCCAACUCAUUUCUUUACAAAUGCACCUUUAAUCACCACCAAAAGGUGUGGACAUGAUCUUUACCCUAGAAAACUAAUCACCGACAGGCAAAUUGACGUCAGAAAUACUAAGAGGAAUUCUAGUUUCCUUCGGGUUAAUGCCAUUUUGUACCCUUCAACUGUAACUCGAUUUCUAAACUAUAAUUUGUGACAUUAUAGUCCUUAAACUAUGAAACCCCUCUUACUUAAGUACAAUGGUUAAUACAAUACCCGUGACUAGACAAGCAACCAUAACAAAAAAAAAUCCAAAAUUAGAGAAAAGAAAGAAGUUUCGCGACCAAAGUAUGUAUCAAGGCAUAGUAUAGAAAUAAAAGUGUCCAAAUUAAGAGUUUAGGGAUAAAAGAGAUCAAGAUAUAGUUUAGGGAUUGAUUUGUCUCAAUUAGAGUUUUGAUGUCAACUAAGAAGAGAGAUAUAGUUGAAGGGUAGAAUAUAGAUAUAACAGUUCAAUGAUUGAUAUCAACGAGACAAUGACAACUUUGGAUUAUUACCAACCUCUUCUUGAUGGGAAAAGGAAAUAGAGAAGAAAGUCGGGCCUGGUCUAAGCCUGCUUCGGAGGCAAAACAACAUUAUGAAAUCACCGGCAUUCACACAAAUAUGUCAAAGUCACCGGCAUGCUAAGUUGCAUAAUUUAUACAAACACUGAAUAAUAUAUUGUUCUUAAAAUUUUUGUUUAAGAUUUAACAAUUAGAGCACGGUACACGAAUUAGCAAUAUUAAAUAAUGAAUGUUCACGAUUGAUAAAGUUAUCAAAGUACAGUUUGAGGACAACCCAUUCCAACGUGUACAAGAUGUUUAGCCUUUGAAAAGUUAAUUAGAGAAGGUGACGAGAUUUUACUAGGCUUAAAUCUUCUAGGCCUCGGAAGUAAAAAAUGAAGGCCUUUGAGUGCUAUAAAAAGGGGGCUAGAUGUUGCCUAGAAGCAUAUCAGCCUCAGACCACAUUUUGUAGCAAUGGGGAGCAAAGCAAAAGCAAUGGGGUCUAGGCUGACUCCUCUUCUUACCACCGUUUUAGUGGUAUUUGUUGCUCUUGGCUUGCCUUCAGAAACUGUGGCUGAUUACUACAAGUAUUCAUCUCCUCCUCCUCCUUACCAUUAUUCCUCACCACCACCUCCUGUGCAUUCACCUCCACCACCGCCAAUUUAUAAGUCACCCCCACCACCUUACCACUACUCCUCACCGCCACCUCCAGUGUAUUCAUCUCCACCACCACCUUCGCCAGUUUACAAGUCUCCGCCACCACCUUACCAUUAUUCGUCACCACCGCCUCCGGUGCAUUCACCUCCACCACCACCUGUUUACAAGUCACCUCCACCACCUUCGCCAGUUUACAAGUCUCCGCCACCACCUUACUAUUAUUCGUCACCACCGCCUCCGGUGCAUUCACCUCCACCACCACCGAUUUACGAGUCACCUCCACCACCUCCUCCAGUUUACAAGUCUCCGCCACCACCUUACCAUUAUUCCUCACCACCACCUCCAACGCAUUCACUCCCACCACCAGUUUACAAAUCACCGCCACCACCUCCUCCUAUGUAUAAGUCCCCUCCACCACCUUAUCAUUAUUCCUCACCACCACCUCCAGUGCAUUCACCCCCACUGCCACCAAUUUACAAGUCUCCGCCACCUCCAAUCUACAAGUAUAAGUCACCACCACCUCCUCCCCCAAUUUACAAGUCACCACCACCACCUCCUCCAGUAUAUAAGUCCCUACCCCCACCAGUGUAUAAGUACAAGUCUCCACCACCACCUCCUCCAGUAUACAAAUCACCUCCACCACCUCCUCCAGUUUACAAAUCUCUACCACCACCAAUUUAUAAAUACAAGUCUCCUCCACCACCUCCUCCGGUUUACAAUUCCCCACCACCACCAAUCUACAAGUCUCCACCUCCACCCUCCCAUUACUACUACAAUUCUCCUCCUCCUCCUCCUCAUCACUACUAAGCAAUUGUAUCCAAGUUUUUGAGGUAAUAAUGCUAAACCAAUAUAUUAACUUUCGCAUGAUAAACUUUAUCUCUAUCAAGACAAACUGCCAUGUGCAUCAAGCCAAAUACGUACACUUCGAUCCAUGAAAAUGACAAGUAGAAGGUUUUCUUAAGAACCAAGGAACAGCAUUAGUAUUCCCUCUGUUUCCAAAACUUGUGUAUUAAAUAGAUUAAUGAAUUGUUUAACAUGCUUAUCUACUUGAAAAUGCACAAUACCCAUAACCCACUGAAAUUUUUGCAGGUAAAGGGGAAGAGAAUCUGUGUUUGAGAGCUUCAUGAAGAUGUUGAAGAAUAAGAAUAAAAGCCCAAUGCGAGGAUGUUUUCAAGUUUUUCUAUGUUUCCACUUUAAUUUGUAAAUUGAAUUUUUCGACUUAAUUAAUUCCCUGUUUGUGGGGUACGUAUUGUUUUACGUACCAUGCCGUACAUGUUUGUAAGGAUUUCUAUCCUAUUGGCAAAAGUCGGUUCCAUACAAUUAAUCAAUUCAUUUCACUUCUAUUGGCUCUACUAUUUAUGCACGUUACGACAUUUUUUCUCUCUUUCCCUUAUAUUUUGUCUUUAAUAUUAUUGAGUCAAUAGUAAUACUGGGCCAUUUUUUUUAAAACUUAUACUAGUAUACAUAGGUAGUUUGGUCUAACGCCAAAUUCAUGUUUGUCUUUCUUUUAUUCCCUUUACAUUUCAAAGUAUACUAUAGUUUGUGAUCAUUGUGGUGAUGAUAUUACCAGCUGGUACUUAUAGUUUAAGGCAGAGACAUGAUAUUAACAACUAUCUCAUUGAAACAUAAGGAAAAAUCAUGACAAGUGUGAGUCUUGGUUAAUGCACAAUUUGUUAGUGGAAUUUAUAUUUAUAAAACUCAAAAAAAAAAUUUUGACAAUGCUAUUACUAAUUAAUUAAGGACUUUAUUGCUAUAAUUUAUCGCUUGCUAGUUUAAACUAUAAAUGAUCUCAAUACUUUUCUCCAUGAUGUCGAUUUCUUUAGAUACGAAAGGGAAAAAUUAGUGACAUAUCCCUUACUGAUUACAACAUCAGCAAAAAUUAGUUAUAAACUUUUCCGGUGGUUUUAAAUCCCCGGGCCCUAAGAUUUUUUGCUCAUCGAGUGAAUUAAGGAACAUAGGCAAUUCAUUUUGCAUACCAAGUCCUUGUUUAAGAUGCAAGUACUAAAAUGCAUCCACUUCAUUAAUUUGGGAAAUUGCCAUAGUUUUUUUAAGCAUUUUGAUUUUUUACAUGAUUUAAAAUUUUCUUAUUGGAUACAAUCACUUUGUAUCAAGAACACAUUUUCAAUCACCUUUUUUUAUCUUCUCAAUGAGAAAAUAAAAAUUUAUUCAUGCUUUUCUAACAUAUUCAAUCAUUGAUCUGAAAAUUAAAACAUUAAGAAAAGGACAUUUUCAAACAUUAAGAAGUAGUAUUUUAAAGACCAUGAUGAAAUUAAUACUUUCAAGGUCUCUAUUAGGAAGACUUCCUUUAUUAAUACUCUACUAGGCAGAGUUAUAUGCACGUUUACUGUUUUGGCCUUAAGUUGGGUGCAGAUGCUUAUAUUACAAAUAGAUGGUAUCAAAAAAUUGUUGUAUUCACGUCUGUUCUUUUUUUCUUCCUUAAGUUUUUUUCUUUAUUCUCGUGACUUCGCUAGUGAGGUAUAACUUCACAACUAGAGUCAAUAGAAAUCGUCAAAUGAUUUUUUGACAUCCAAAUUAAGCAAUAAAUUUUGUUUUCAUUUCAUAACAUAUAAUAGUACUACUUCAUGGGAGAUUUUAUAGUUUCUUUAGGGUAUCAUACCUACAAUUGAUAUUUAUCAUUGGAUAGUGAAAGAAGUGUUAAUGUCUCUAAGAUUAAAUAUUGUUAAAUAUUGAAAAUUUGAACUAUUUAUCUCUAUUGAGAGAUACAACUUAAAGAAUCCUACCCAAAAGAGACUAGAAUUUUCUCUGUUUUUCAUCAUCUGUAGACAUAAACUUUCCACGGUUGAUAGCAUUUUUCAUCAUCUAUAAGGAAAUUUUGCCUAUACAAUGUGAUAGCAUUUUUCAAAAAGACAAGAUGGAAAAUUGCCCCCCUUGAACGGAAAAUUGCCCCCUUGUCAAUUCUUUAAAAAAGAAUACCGUCCCGCAGAAUUCUAGAAAGUUAGGCAAAACUAGACAAGUUGACAGGUAUAAUCAGACCCAAGAUCAGGAACAAGCAGUUGCACAUUUCAAAAUUCGCUGCUGCAACAACUAAUUUGAUGACUUACAACACUAAAUGGUCAAACUUUGAAUGGCAAUGAAUCUUUUGUUGUACAUCAUGAUGUAAUUUUCAUGUUACAUAAUAGAUUGAUAUCUAUGUUCUUUAAAUUAUCAUAAUAAUUAAAUUUAACUGAAAAAAAGAACACAUAUCAAUACACAAAAGUGUGCAACGUGAAUGUUAUUUUAGUGUAUUGCAGAAGACCUAUAGUCUCUUCAUAUCUCUUCCUGCACGUAUCAAUUCGUUUCCUCUAGAUAAUAAUCUCCCAACUCAUUUAUUUACAAAUGCACCUUUUAUGUUUUAUUACCUCCAAAAGCCUAAAAAUCAAUUCACCGACUCGCAUUUGGUAUCAGAAAUUCUUAUUACGAAUUCUACUUUACUCAAAGAUUGACUGUUAAUAAUGAGACAACGACCAUUUUGUAUUAUUACACCGUCCUUCUUGAUAGGCAAAAGAAAUAGAGAGGAAAGCGGGUCCGUAUAUGGUCUUUUAUUCAUAGAUAAUACAACAUUACGCCAUCGAGCAUUCACACAAUAUUUCAAAGUCAUUGCAUGCCUAAGGCCUGCUUGAUAAUCUAAUUCCGUACUUAAAUUUAAUAAAUUCAAAUCUUAACACAUUCAAAUCGUUUGAUAACAAAAAAUUGAACAUCUAAAUUAAUUAAGUAACACUGAAUUUUCUAGGCAAAACUUGCUCCCAAAAUUAAGUGAUAAGUUAUUCACUUAUCACUGAAUAUGAUAUGUAUUCAAAUGUAUUAGAUUUAAUACUUAAUAAUUUAAUGAAUUCAAAUUUCAUAUUUCAUAUUUCAGUUUUAUCAAACACACCUUAAGUUGCAAAAUAAUACCAAAACUUGUUAUUACAUAGCUUGAGAUUCAAAAAUUUAGAGCAUAAUUCUCAACCAAACACAAUUGAAUAAUGAAUAUUCACGAGUGUCAAAUCUAUCAAAGUACAAUUUGAGGACAACCCAUUCAAACGCGUACACGAUUUUUAACUUUUCUAAAGUUGUUGAGAGCUGUUGAAAGAGAUUUACCAUGUUUACAUCUUCCAAGUCUUGGGAGUAAAAAAUGAAGCCACUGAGUGCUAUAAAAAGGGGGGUAGAGGCCACUUGAGAUCCUCGGUGACAUGUUUUCUAUGCCAAUCCAAUGCCACCAAUAGUGUUGCGCCAAGUGUCAUGUUAUUAUUUACACUUGUGUUAAACUAAGCCAAGUUGAAUUAUUAGAAAAUUAAAGUGUAAAUAAUAACAUGACACUUGGCGCAAUACUAUUGGUGACAUUGGGUUGGCAUAGAAAAUAUGUCACCGAGGAUCCCAAGUGGAUAGAUGCUGCCUAGAAGCAUAUCAGCCUAAAACAAGAAUUUGUAGUAACAAUGGGGAGCAAAGCAAAAGCAACGGGGUCUAGGCUGACUCCUCUUCUUACCACUGUUUUAGUGGUAUUUGUUGCCCUUGGCUUGCCCUUGGAAACUGCAGCUGAUUAUUACAAGUAUUCAUCUCCUCCUCCUCCUCCUUACCAGUAUUCCUCACCACCACCUCCAGUGUAUUCACCUCCACCAACCCCUGUUUAUAAGUUACCCCCACCAUCUCCUCUAGUUUACAAGUCCUCACCACCACCUUACCACUACUCACCACCUCCUGUGUAUUCACCUCCACCAUCACCAAUUUACAAGUCACUGCCACCACCCCCUCCAGUAUACAACUCCCCGCCUCCACCAGUGUACAAAUACAAGUCCCCACCACCACCUUCUCCAAUUUACAAAUCUCCACCGCCACCAGUUUACAAGUACAAGUCACCCCCACCACCUCCUCCGGUAUACAAGUCUCCUCCGCCACCUGUUUACGAGUACAAGUCUCCUCCACCACCUCCUCCAGUGUACAAGUCCCCACCACCUCCAGUUUACAAGUACAAGUCACCACCACCUCCUCCCCCGGUUUACCAAUCUCCUCCACCACCAGUUUACAAAUACAAGUCACCACCACCUCCUCCCCCAGUUUACCAGUCUCCACCUCCACCCUAUCAUCACUACUACGGUUCUCCUCCUCCUCACCACUACUAAGCAAGUGCAUCUAAGUUUUGAGGUAAUAAUACCGAUCCAAAACUUUAUCAACGCAAACUGCCAUGUAUAUCAUGCUAAGGACGUACACUUGAUCCAUGAAAAUGGCUAGUAGAAGAUUUUUUUUAAGAACCAGAGAAAUACAUUAUUUUUUCGCUCUGUUUUCAAGAAUUUGAGCAGUAUACAGAUUAAAGAGUGUUUUUUUUAAACUUGCUUAUCAACUUAGAAAUGCACAUAGCUGAAAGCCAACUGAAUAUUUGCAGGCAAAGGAGAAGGCAAUCGGUGUUUGAGACCUUCAUGAAGAUGUAGAAGAAUAAGAAUAAAAGCCCAAUGCGAGGAUGAUUUCAAGUUUCUACGUUACCAUUUCUACAUCUAAAUUGACUUUAGCUCCUGAGUUCCAUGUCUAUGGGGUUUGUACUGUUUUACGUACCAUGCAGUACAUGCUUGUAAGGUUUUCUGUCCUGUUGGCAAGCCGCAGGUCCAUAUAAUAAAUGAAUACUAUUUAUAUUACGACACUUUUCUCUCUUUCUCUUAUAUUUUGUCUUUAAUAUUGUUGAUCAUUUUUUUUUUUUAUCAAAAGUAUCAAAUGCUUAGGCAAUUUGGUCUAAUGCUAAUUGUUUUACAUUUAUUUUUCACCUACAUCCCUUUUCAACUCAAAGGAUGCUACAGUUUGUGAUCAUUGUUUAAGACCGAAGCAUGGUACUAAUAAAUAUCUCAUUGAAAGUCAAGGAAACUAACAUUAUGAAAAGUGUAAAUCUUGAUUUGUGAAACUAUUUAUUCGUGGAAUUUAGAGAUACAAAACUCAAAUUGUGACGGUGUUGUUGCUAAAUUAUUUUUUUUUUAUAAUAAAACACAGUUCAUUCAAGGAUUACUGGAAAUCGUCCAGCACAAUUGAGAUACAUUGUUGCCCAGGUGGCAGAUAAAUAUGCACUAAAAUUAUAGAUAUGCAAUUUAACAAAUACAUAAGAUUUGAGAAAUUAAGGACAAAUCUAAAAAGGACCAUAAAUUUGAAAAACAUUUCAUCCUAGAAUAAGUCGCUGCAACUCUCUUUGUGCAUGCUGUAAUCGUCAGAUCUACUAAUCAACAGUUGUAAGGUCCAGUAAAGAUGGUGAGAUCUGCCGAGAUUGAUCCAAAUCUGAAAUAUUCCCUCAGAUCUGCUAUCCAAUUGGUUCAAACUCAAUACUGAAAGUGAAAUCUGAUGAGAAGACUGAAAAAAUUGUAGAUCUAACAUAUAGAUCUAAAAAAACUCCAAGAUUUGAAAAAGUAAAGAAACAAAACUAAAUAAAACUCUCAUUAAGAUAGUUUAGGAGAGACUAAAACUCUCAAUAGGACACCCUAGGAGAGAAGAAAACUCUCACUAGGAUAACCUAUGAGAGACUUUAUUGAAUGAAAGGAAAAGCAAAGGACAAAGGAAGAAGAAGGGAGACCUUGGCUUAAGGCCAAGGUCUCCCUCCUAUGGAGGAGGAAGGGUAGAGGAGGAAGCCUAGAGAGAAGGAAGAGAAUCCCUCCGCUAGAGGGAAGGAAGAGCCUCUGAGAGGGUACCCGUGUUGUUGCUAAAUUAUUAAGGACAUUAUCACCAUUACUUUUCCCUUACUAGUUUCAACUGCAAUGAUCUCAAUCUUUUUGUGACUAAUUCUUUUCUUAAUAAUUUAUAAAUACAAAACUCACAAAGAAUAUGUGACUUAUUCUUUCCUUUCGUCUUCUAAAGAAAAUGCCAACUGUUAGUUUAUCAAGGGAAAAAGGAUCGACAUCAGUUGUUAUUGAAACUAGUAAGGAAUAAAUAAUGGUGAUAAUGUCCUUAAUAAUUUAACAACAGCACCAUCAGAAUUUGAGCUUUGUAUCUAUAAAUUCCACGAAUAAAUAGUUUCAUCAAAUCAAGAUUUACACUUUUCAUAAUGUUAAGUUUCCUUGACUUUCAAUGAGAUAUUUAUUAGUAUCAUGCUUCGGUCGUAAACAACGAUCACAAACGAUAGCAUCCUUUGAGUUGAAAAGGGUAGUGAAAAAGAGAAGUAAAAAAUACAAUUAGCAUUCCCUCAAAUUGUAGAAAGUUAGGUAGCAUUAUAGACAAGUUGAUAGCCGUAAUUAUACUAAAAAUCAGGCAAAAGCCAGCAAUUUUACAUUUCAAAAUUCACCUAUUCAAUAACUAAUUCGAUGGCUUGCUACAUGGUCAAAAUUCACCACAUAUCCCUUUCCUCAAUCAGGGGCUUCUACAAUUACCAGUUCCAAUUGUAUGGUAUAGUGUAAAUAUCAACAAAUUAGAUGUAGACACUAAUAUAAUAAAUAUGGAUGCUAAGGCAACAACAUACAAAAACAUAAUAAAUUUUGGCAUUCCUUAAAAAAUUACGUCCCCAAAUCAAUCUCAUACACCCAAUUUCUAAUUUAUUUAACUCAUUCCGUCUAUUAACUGCACCAUACAAUCCAACCUGCAAUUGCAUGAACCCCAAUCUCGCUUCCUAGUCCACCAUUUUUCUCUAGGUAAUAAUCUCCCUUCUAAUUUCUUCACAAAAUGCACCUUUCAUCACCUCCAAUAGCGUCGACAUGAUCUUUACCCUAGAAGACUAUUCACCGACUCCCAAUUGACGUCAGAAAAUCUAAGAGUAAUUCUACUUUACCCUAAGAUUGAUAUCAACUAGACAAUGACAAUUUAGAAUUAUUACACGCCUCUUCUUAAUAGGAAAAAGAAAUAGAGAAGAAAGUCAGGCCAGGUCUAAUUUCUUUUCGAAGGCAAUACAACAUUACGAAAUCAAGCAUUCAUUCAUACAAAUAUUUCAUAGUCACCGGUUUGCUGAGUAGAAAAGUUUAUACAAAAACUUAAUAUUAUAUUGUUUAAGAGUUAACAAUUUAGAGCUUAAUCUCCUUGUACUUUGGACUAAACUCGAACGUGAAAGGAAAUCCCAAAACCAUAUUGGGCAUGAAUUCACACUUAAAUAGACCCAAAAAAAGAUGGCGACUGGUGAAAGGCAGUGGAGACUGGUGGUGAGAUUUGAGGAAUAGAAGCAGACGGAAAAGCCACAAAUUUUUGCCGAAAGAGGGUCACUUUCAUGGUUAAUUUUGCUACUCUCUACUUGUACUUGACCAAUGACAGGUUGUCAGUCUGUGCAAUAAUAAAAACCUGUUCAAACUAAAAGUAAUUUCUGUAGAUAGUGGUAAGCAGGGUCGAAUCCACAGGGAUUAGGUGUAACUGUUUCUUUUCAAAUUCACAAUAACAAAGGGGGUGUUUUUAUGCAGAAUGUGACAAUCAAAGAAAUUCAAUUAAAAGUAAAAUAAUAAAAAUAAAAUAGCCAACUAGAAAUUAAAUAACAAUUUACUAAAAUCAAAUGAGUGAUAAUUAAGGAUCUAGCCAAGGAAUAACUUCAGCAGUGGUUCACCUAAUUGAUCAUUGGAACAAAGGCAAUUCCAAUUAUUUACUAAUAAAUAGGUUAUAACUGCCAAACAAGCGAUGACAGUCAAUCACUCCUUACUGUGUCGGUGAUUAAGGUACGCCCGUUAAUCACUGCCCUAAUUGAGAAAUAAUCUUAGGUACGCCCGUAAGAUUUAAUUUUCCAAUUGCCUUACAUAUUAGAGGAGUGUCAGGAACAAGGAAAUAGAAUGGGACGUCGUUUAAUGCAAAGGGUUGUGCGUUUAAGGCCUUAGAAGCAAUACUACGUCGUUCUAAUAACAUAGGCGGUGCUGGUGUGAUAGGCCAAGUUAGUUGAGGGUCAAUUACAUAAAUAGCCUUCUGUAACAGAUUUUUGGUUAUGUUUUUGAAUGAAAAGUAUCUCGCUGCUUUCUCUCUCUUGUCUGUUAUUUCCCUCCCUUUUCUUCUUUCUCUCUUCCCUCUUCUUAAUCUUGUUUCUUUCUUCUGAUUCUUCCCCCAAAUUCAAUACAAUUCCAGAAAUUAACCUGCAAGUCUGACAUUUGGUAUCAGAGCGGUCGAUUCUUGGCCGCGAAGGUAUCAGAAAUGGCUGAGAGCACGCGAUUCAGGACACUGGAGGAGCAACUCAAGAAGCAGGAGAAUCGGUUGCAAGAACUGGCGGAAUCCAUGGCUGCACUGCAGAGUACGAGUUCCGAGGAGUUGCGGCAUAAGCUACAGGCGGAAAUGGAGCAGAACAAUGCAAAAUUGGACGCGGUGGUGGGAAGUCUGGACCAGAAGUUCAAUAAAAUGGAACAGAGACUCAGUACAGUGUUGAAGCUGCUGAUGAAGGAGAAAGGUCUCCCUGAUGUCGAAGGAGGAAUUUCUGAUCCAAUCUUGCCGACUCCUCCAUCUCAUCUGAGGUUAGCAUCCUCAGUCGAAGGGAUUGGGCACCAACAAGAGUACAGAGGUAGGCAAUUCACUCCUAAUGUACCUCGAUUAGAACUGCCAAUGUUUAACUCUGGAAACCCUAGGGAAUGGACCAGGAAAUGCCAGAAAUAUUUUUUGAACUAUCAGAUAGCAGAGAGUCAAAAGGUAGAGGUAGCAGAGAUGUUUUUGGAAGGUAGAGCUGACAAUUGGUUUCAAGGAGUGAAAUUGGUGAGGCCAGGGUUGUCUUGGGGGGAAUUUAGUGAACUUUUGUGUGAAAGAUUUUCUGGAAGUAGUUCUCGUGACAUUGUGGAGGAAUUUAACAAGUUACAGCAGAAAGGAACUGUUGAGGAAUAUGAGGAGAAAUUUGAAGAACUAAAAGCUCUAAUGCUGAUGAAAACCCCCAGGUUGGAUGAACUUUACUUUGUUUCCAGUUUUAUUAGUGGCCUCAGGGAAGAAAUUAGACCUAUGGUGAAGAUGUUUAAGCCUCAAACACUGAUGAAGGCCUUUGAAGUUGCGGAGUUGCAGGAGUGUUCCCUGGAAAUCCAAUCGAAACAAAACAGAACUUCAAGGAGGACAGCAAUGGAACCCAAGUUUGGAAUGUAUAAGGGCACUACGAGUGAUUAGGGUCGCCAAAAUUCAUAUAAGUUGCCUGGAGUCACUCCUGUCUCCAGGAGGACUAAUGCAGUACACAAGGAAUUUAGUAAGAUAUCAGCGGAGGAAAUGCAGUAUAAGCGUAAGCACAGCCUGUGCUAUAGGUGUGGAGAGAAGUUUGGAAUAGGUCAUCAGUGUAAGAAAGGAAGUCUGAACUGUGUGAGCACUGAGGAAGAGGAGGACACUGAAUUUGAGGAUGCGGAAGGGGAACAGGAUGAGUUAACAGGAAGGGUCGGGGAACUUGCAGAAGUCUCUUUGAAUGCUUUAUCUGGUGCCAUAAGGAGGAAAUCCAUCCUGUUGAUAGGGAACUUAGGGGGGCUUCCAGUCAAAAUUUUGGUGGACACAGGCAGUUCUAACAGCUUCAUUCACCACAGGAUUGUCAACCUACUGCAUCUACCAUAUCAGGCAGUCAGUCCAUUUACUGUGACUCUAGCAGAUGGAACUGACAUUACCAGUGGAGCCAUCAGUCCCAGCGUGUCUUGGUUAAUUCAGGACUAUCAAUUCCAAUUUGACUUAAAAGUAAUGGAAUUAGGGGGAUGGGAUAUAAUUCUGGGGGUGGACUGGAUGUGCCAGUAUAGUCCCAUUACAUUUGAUUUCCACUCUCUUAGCAUUGCCCUUAGUGAUAGGGGUUCUUUACUACACCUCCAAGGACUUGUGAAGCAACCUACUAUGGAACUGGUGAGGGGCAGGGAUCUCAGCUCGUUUAUACAGGAGAAGCAAAGAAACUGUGCAGCCAUGCAUGCUGAUAGGGCCAGGGAAACAGGAGAGCAGCUUCCAAAAGCUAUAGAAAGGAUCCUGGAACAGCACUCUCAGGUUUUCUCCACCCCAACAGGAUUACCCCCAGAGAGGGAAUUGGACCAUCAGAUCAACCUCAAACCAGGAGCUGAACCCUUCAAGCUCAAACCUUACAGGUACCCCCACUCACAUAAAGCAGAAAUUGAAAAAAAAGUUGCUGAGAUGCUCACUAAUGGAAUUGUUAUACAUAGCACAAGCCCCUAUGCCUCCCCUGUAUUGUUAGUAAAGAAAAAGGAUAACUCCUGGAGAUUAUGCAUAGAUUACAGGAAGCUGAACGAGCUGACUAUAAAGGAUAAGUUCCCUAUUCCCAACAUAGAUGAACUAUUGGAUGAAUUACAUGGAACCAGAUACAUGUCCAAACUGGAUCUCAGAGCUGGUUACCAUCAGUUGAGGGUGAAAGCUGUUGAUACCCCUAAGACUGCCUUCCAGACACACCAUGGCCACUUUGAAUUCUUAGUGAUGCCUUUUGGACUCACAAACGCGCCAGCUACAUUUCAGUCCUUGAUGAACAGAAUAUUUCAGCCAUAUCUCAGAAAGUUUGUCCUAGUCUUCUUUGACUACAUAUUAGUGUACAGCCCCACACUAGAGAUGCAUGCACAGCAUCUACAGAUUGUGCUCAAUAUUUUAGAAGAAAAUCAGCUGUAUUACAAGAGGUCAAAGUGCUCUUUUGCCCAGUCCUCAAUUGAAUACUUGGGGCACGUGAUCUCAGAGGCAGGAGUGAGUAUGGAUGUGGCUAAGGUGGAGUGUAUCAAGUCCUGGUCUGUUCCUAGUACAGUCAAGGAGCUGAGAGGGUUUUUGGGAUUAAUUGGUUACUACAGGAGAUUCAUUAAAGGCUAUGGAGUGAUUAGCAAACCCUUGACUGUAUUGUUGAAAAAGGAAGGUUUUGCAUGGAACCAUGAAGCUCAAAUGGCCUUUGAAGAUUUGAAAAAGGUUAUGACCACAGCCCCAGUGCUGAGCAUGCCUAAUUUCGAACUUCCUUUUGUCAUAGAGACUGAUGCCUGUGGAAUAGGUAUUGGAGCAGUGUUGAUGCAGCAAGGACAUCCUAUUGCUUUCCUUAGCAAGGCAUUAUCAGUUCAGAAUUUGGGGUUAUCAGUCUAUGAAAAAGAGCUUUUUGCCUUAGUGCUAGCUGUAACUAAGUGGAGGCAUUACCUGGUGGGUCAUCACUUCAUUAUCAGGACAGAUCACCAAGCUCUCAAACAUUUGAUAGAGCAAAGGCUUACUCAUCCACUCCAGCACAAGUGGCUAACUAAGCUACUUGGUUUGGACUAUGAAAUACAGUAUAAAAAGGGUGCAGACAAUGGGGUGGCAGACGCCCUCUCCAGGAGAAGGAUUGAGGGAAACACUGUUGACUGUGGAGAGACUGGGCAUCAGACCUGCGCCAUAACCUCAGCUCAGCCUAGUUGGAUGCAGGAAAUGCUAGAAAGCUACAUUGGAGAUGCAGAGGCUCAACAGAAGUUAUCUGAGCUAUUGCUGGAUCCCAAUGCAGAUCCAGAUUAUCAGUUAAAGAAUGGGAUGCUCAAGUUUAAAGGGCGGCUGUACAUAGGAUCUGCUAACAACAUUAGGACCAAGGUGGUCAGAGCAUUGCAUGACUCAGCCCUUGGGGGGCACUCAGGUCCUGGAAUCCGUAAGGAUGUCCUUCAAUAUGUGAGAUCUUGUGAUGUGUGUCAAAGGAACAAACAUGAAAAUGUUCCUUAUCCUGGGUUGCUGCAACCAAUUCCUGUACCUCAGCAGGCUUGGUCACACCUCACCAUGGAUUUUAUUGAGCAACUACCCCCAUCCCAUGGAUUUGAUACCAUUUUGGUGGUGGUGGAUAGGUUAACCAAGUUCAGCCACUUCAUUCGACUCACUCACCCUUUUUCUGCACAGCAGGUAGCACAGCUUUUCCUUGACAACAUAUACAAGCUGCAUGGACUUCCUGAGACCAUUAUAACUGACAGGGACAUAAUCUUUCUUAGUAAGUUUUGGCAAGAGUUAUUUGGUAUGGUAGGGGUAAAGCUGCACUACAGUUCAUCGUAUCACCCUCAAUCAGAUGGUCAAAGUGAAAGGGUCAAUCAGUGUUUGGAAAACUAUCUCAGGUGUAUGUGCAGUGAGCAUCCUUCUCACUGGAGCAGUUGGCUUCCUACAGCUGAGUUAUGGUACAACACUAACUUCCAUACUAGCUUGCAGGUGACACCAUUCGAAGCACUAUACGGGUAUAAACCAAAUCACCUUCCCUUAGGACCUUUUCAUGAUAGCCUGGUACCUGCUGCUGGUAACAUGGUGCAGACUAGGCUCCAAAUUCUAUCCCUCAUCAAAGAGAAUCUAGCCACCGCCCAGAAUCGAAUGAAAAUGUUUACUGAUAAGCACAGGACUGAACGUGUCUUCCAAGUGGGGGAUUGGGUAUUUCUCAAGCUGCAACCUUACAGGCAACAAUCAGUGGCCUUACGGAAGAAUUUGAAGUUGGCUGCCAAAUACUUUGGACCUUUCCAGAUCCUUGCGAGAGUAGGGGAAGUCGCCUACAGACUUAAGUUGCCAGAGGGAGCUCGAGUUCAUUCCGUGUUCCAUGUGUCCUUACUUAAAAGGAAAGUGGGAGUUACACAGCAGGUAAAGCCCAGCUUGCCAGAAGUAGACGCAUCAGACCAAUGUUUGCUGAAGCCAGAGAAGAUUCUCCAGAGGCGUGUUAUCAUACGAGCUGCCAAACCAAUCAUCCAGUACCUGGUGAAGUGGAACAACUUACCAGAAUCCGAAGCAUCAUGGGAGGAUAAAAGCUUCAUUGACAGACAAUUUCCGGAAUUUCAAGCUUGAGGACAAGCUUUGCUUAAGGGGAAGAGAUUGUCAGGAACAAGGAAAUAGAAUGGGACGUCGUUUAAUGCAAAGGGUUGUGCGUUUAAGGCCUUAGAAGCAAUACUACGUCAUUCUAAUAACAUAGGCGGUGCUGGUGUGAUAGGCCAAGUUAGUUGAGGGUCAAUUACAUAAAUAGCCUUCUGUAACAGAUUUUUGGUUAUGUUUUUGAAUGAAAAGUAUCUCGCUGCUUUCUCUCUCUUGUCUGUUAUUUCCCUCCCUUUUCUUCUUUCUCUCUUCCCUCUUCUUAAUCUUGUUUCUUUCUUCUGAUUCUUCCCCCAAAUUCAAUACAAUUCCAGAAAUUAACCUGCAGAUCUGACAAGGAGCCCUAUUCUAACCAAAUAACACACUACCAGGGUUAUUUUAGGUUAGCCCGCGUAUUCCCCUGACAUGAAUCCAAUCAUGCCAGUUAUCACUAUUUUGAAACAAUUAAACAAUUACGGAUUUAACGUCCCAAUUGACAAUAGAUUAUCAAAUUAACUAAUUAUCCGGAUCCAAAACAAUCAAUUAAUUAAAUAAUCAUAAGCACUGUAAUCAGGGAAUAUUUGAAUACCAAUAAAUAAAAAGAAAGGACAAAAUUAAAUCGAUUUCACAAUUUUUAAACGAACCACAACCUCAGUUGUUCCUCGGCUAGAUUGAGAAAAUUAGCUCAUGUUCGAUGCGAAAAAUCCACAAGAAAUUGUUAAGAGAGCCGCGGCCAUUGUCCCUUGAAAUUGGGGAAAUUCAAUUCGGUUGAACUACGAAAGAAAAGUAAGCUACAGAGAGUUGCCGAUUGGGUUUUGCUUGUCCCUAACAUGCGAGGGAGCAAAGCCACGAAAGGACGACAAAGGUCAAAAAGAAAGGCUACAGAGCAUGUUCCAGGUCUUUUUGUGCUCUCCACAUCCGAGCCAACGAAAAGAAAUAAAAAACUACCAGGAGCUAAAGGAAAACCGCAAGAAAAGUCAAAGGCUAAAAAAACUUCCUAGUGCUUGUUCUCUGCUUAUCUCUUUAUCUAAUUCUAAGUCCCCGAUUUUUUGCUCCGUGCGGCGGCUCCCCCGGAGAGAAAGGAUUGCAUCCGCUGCCCUCUUCCACCAAUUACCAAAAUGGGCACACCGCUUCUUUUUCAAAAAUGCUCCUGGAUAAACUCUAUCAUCUGGACUUUUUUUCUGUCAAAUUGACAUUUAUUAUUAUAUUUUCGUUCUACUCCCUGAAAUAAAUGUAAAAUAUUAAAAAUGAGUAGAAUCCGACAAUUAAUUCACAUCAGGUCAGAUAAUAAAGAAAAUUAAUAAUAAAAUAAAUAAAUAAAUUGCAACCUAUCAACCAAAUACAACAAUUUCAUGGAGUUUGAUACACAAGCCCAAAUACACGAGAGUGUGUAACCUGAAUUGUUACUUAUACAUUAGUGUGUAAUAGAACGGCAAGCAUUAUGGUGGUCAUUGAGCAACUUGUAGGAGAAAUAGUCCUAUAAGCUGUUCAAUGACCAAUCACAACUUGCUAAUUGGAUGACUAAUAUAGCUCUAGCUGUAAUGUUUUAAUUAAAUUCCAUCACUAACGUUGGGAUGACUUUUUAAUCAAAAAAAAAAAAGCCUUAGUUCAAGCUUUUCCCCUUAUUGUGCAUUUUUUAAAACAUUUGAUAGGCACUGCAAAUCUGUCAUUUUGGACAUUUUAUUAUUAACUAACAAUGAAAGCCGUGGACAUCAACCCAUAUCCAACAAAAUAUUAAAUUAAUAUUAGAAAAAAUUAUUAAGUAAUUGGAAAAAAAAAGAAGAGGCUAAUUUUCAUUGAAACCCACCGACAAACUAUACGCUGCUUUCAAUCAGUUUUAACACGGGAAAAAGAAAAGGCAUGAAAAGCAAAAUUUGUGGGGAUAAUUUCGGAAACCUCCCAUGAAGUUUUUGACUAUUUUACUGGCCUCCCUUCAGAUUUUAAAAAUUGGACUAAUCUUCCUUAAAGUUAAUUAUCUUGUAACAUUUAGAUCCGAUCAAUAAUUUAAAAAAUAAUAUUAUGAGAGAGAAAAUAAUAUGAUUUUAUUAUUGCCCCCAUCUCACCACAUUAUUUAAUUAAUUUAAUAGCAACCCACACAUUAAAGAAAAUGACAGGUCGUCAACCUGUGCAAUAAUAAAAUUAAACCUAAUUGCCAGUUAAAAUGACCAAAACCCAAUUCCAAGUACUGGAGCAGGGACUCUAGGUGUGCAAUGGGUUACUUGAUUCACCCUGUUCCCGAAGAGUUUGCUUGAUCCGAUAUACCCGAAUGGAAUGGUUAUUCCUUUUCACAAAUGAUUAGGAAUUUGUAGACAGGGCAAGUAGGGUCGUAUCCACAGAGACUGGGUAUAUUUGUUUCUUAAGAAAUCCAAAGUAACACAGGGGGUGAUUUUGUAGGAACGACGAUAAUUAAAUAAAUUCAAAUGAGAAAGUAAAAAUAAAUAAUUAACUAGAAAUUAAACCACAAUUUACUGAACUCAGGAUAACAAUAGUUAAAGGCCUCAAUUAAUUAAAAUAAGGAAACAAUCAAAAAUAAAAUAAAGUAGGUAAUUAAAAGUCAAAUGGCAAUCCACUACAAUCAAGGAAAUAUUAACUAAAGAUCUAGCCAAGAAAUAACUUCAGCAAUGGUUCACCUAAUCGAUCAUUGAUGCAAAGCAAUCCCAAUUAUUUACUAAUAAAUAGGUUAUAACUACCAAACAAGCGAUGGCAGUCAACCCCUCCUUACUGUGUCGGUGAUCAAGGUACGCCCGUUAAUCACUGCUCUAAUUGAGAAAUAAUCCUAGGUACGCCCGUAGAAUUUAAUUCCCCAACUGCCUUACGUAUUAGAGGAGCCCUAUUCUACCCAAAUAACACACUACCAGGGUUAUUUUAGAUUAGCCCGCGUAUCCCCCUGACACGAAUCUAAUCGUGCCAGUUGUCACUAAUUUGAGGUAAUUAAACAAUUACGGAUUCAAUACCCCAAUUGACAAUAGAUUAUCAAACCAAUGAAUUAUCCGGAUCCAAGACAAUCAACUAAUUAAAUAAUCAUAAGCACUGCAACCAAGGAAUAUGCGAAUACCAAUAAAUAAAGGAAAAGAUAAAAUUAAAUCGAUCUCACAAUUUACAGGUGACCCAAAGCAUCAGUCGUUUCUUGACUAGAACGAGGGGGUUAGCUCAUAUUGGAUGAACUAAGCCCGCGGGAAAUUCCAGCAAAAGUCACGGCCGUUGUAUGCAUUUCAAGAGCCGCAAUUCGUCAAACACUUGGAAAGCGAAUGUAAGGCACGGGUAACAAUUGAAACUUUCUAAUUGUUCCUAGCAUUCGUAAAGCAAAUUCACUCCAGAAGUACAGUGAGGAAAAGUCAAAGAAAGUGGGCUUCAAUUCCUUGCUCCUGACAUGCGUGGAGACAAGCCAAUGCAAGACUACAAUAAACUAACAAGGAAAAGUCAAGAAUUGGAGCUAAGCUCCCCUGCCAUGCGCAGGAAUCCCAAAAGUAAAAAGUAAAGCUUCAAAGAAAAGUCAACAAUUCUUCCUAAGCUACAGACGGAAGAUCCAGCACAAAAGCCAGCUCCCUUUUUGAUCCCUUUUUCCCCCUUCUUAUUGCGGCGGCUCACCAGGAGAGGAGAGCCCUCCGUCCGUCCUUUCUUCCGGAAAUUACCAAAAUGGGCAUGACAUCUUCUCUUCCAAAAGUGCCCCUGGGACAAGCUUUCUCAUCUGAAUUCUUUUUUUUUCCAAUUUGGCACCUGUUAUCAUAUUUAUAUUCUACUCCCUGAAAUAAACGUCAAAUACUAAAAGUGAGUAGAAUCCAGCAAAUAAAUCCACAUCAAGUCAGGUAAUAGGAGGAAUUAAUAAUAAAAUAAAUGAAUAAAUUGCACCCUAUCAAUUCCCUCCACACCUAAACCAUGCUUGUCCUCAAGCAUAAGAAAAGUAAACGAACACCAAAAUUCGACGAUAGCCAUUGCCCAAUCUCCUAUAUUGCCAAGACAUUCAAGAGAAAAACACAUAUCGAGCAUUGGUGAUUAGAAUCCCAGAAGCAUCCCCCCGGUUAGCCUCUAACCCCCAGAUUCCUUCAAUUUCCAACUUAACUACUCUAAGAAAGAGGAAUGGCACACAACAUUUAUCAGCUAGUGGUCCGAAUAUUCACACAAGUCUUCAUAUCCAAUCCAUAAACCGGCAAGCUUCCCUAUUAUUUAGUCUCUCUUUUUUUCCGUUUUUUUUCAUUUUCAUUCUUCCCCUCUUUUUUUUUUUUUUUUAAAGCAGUAGCAAUCAACACAAAAGACUUAGUCGUUAGCCGUCAGGGCCUUUUGAUGCGAACUCCAACAUUUUUAGAAGGAGGAGCCCGGUUACUCAGCUCCUACCGCUAUACGACCACGCACUCAUAUAAAAUACCACCUUUUGACGCGAGAAUCGACACUUUUAGGUGCCGAUCCCCGGUUACUCAGUAGUAACUUAAUAGCGGAGCACAGUCAAGCUUAUUCUCAGCCAAACAAUGCACAAACGCAAAAUAACAGCACUAACAAUCAAACAUAGGAGCAGCUCGCCUCAUUAUUGUCAAACAUGGAGAACUGGAGUCAAUAUUGGACCAGUUCACAUUAAAAGGCCAUAUUCAUUCCCUACGCCUAGAAAAGUUAACAAAGAAAUCGAAAGAGUCAAACAGUUAAAUAUUCACCAAGGGGAUAUUCAGGACCCAACCACACUAACCCGAUACAUUUUGUAUUUUAAAAACUUGGCAAAAGUAGAUUUGGAGUCAAUGAGUCCACAUCUCAAUUUUAGCCUUCACAUGAAAGGCAAUCACCAAGAAGAAAGAACGGAAAAAUAAGCAACUAGAAAUGAGACUACGAAAAACUACUAAAACUAAAAACUCACUUUUUUUCUUUUUCUCUUUUUUUUUCUUUUUGAAUUUUUUUUUCAUUUUUAUUUUUUUUUAUUUUUUUUAUUUUUUAAACAUUAACUAUAAACAUUAACUACUAAAAACUAAAAACUAAAACUACUAAAAACUAAAAACACUAAAAACUGCUAAAAUGAAAAGCUGAAAACUGAAAACUACUAAAAACGGAGCACACUAGCAUAACUUUAGAUCCCCCCCACACCUAUAGGACACAUUGUCCUCAAUGUGACAAAUAAGAACCAAAAGUGAAGCACAAGUGAGAGGGGAAUCAGCCAAACUUCCCUGAAAUCGGGUCACAGCGGAGGGCGAGGUGGAAAUGGAGGUGCAAAGCCUGUAUGCAUCAGGAACUGUGCCAAAUUCUGUGCUAUGCCGGCGACAUUGGCGUCGACGUUGGUCAUCCGGGCCUGCAAAUCCUGAACCAGCUCCCUGAGAUGCUGCCAAUCAUCGGUCCCAGGUGGUGGAGGUGGCGCAGAAGUAGAGGUAGACGGCCCAGCAGUGUCCGCGGCCGACCCAGGGAAUGAAGAUGGCCCUGCCCGGGCCGAAUGGUGUGCACCCGGGGCUCGAGGUGGUCCCGGACGGGUAAACUGGUGAAAACCAUCUGGCAGACGCUCGACGACCCCCAUUUUCUCUAAGCAAACUACGUCCAAGUGCUCCAUCUCAAAUGCCAAAUGGAGGUCGUGGUCAUCCAGGUUAAGAACUCCCAACUGGGUCGCCAAGUGAGUGAUGUAGGACCCAAGGAUCAGUGGUUUGUUCUUCUUGGUCAAGACCGUCUUGAACUGUGCGGCCAACCAACAUCCCAAGUUCACCUUGAUAUUGUUCUUCAUACUCCAGAGAAAGAAGAAUUCGGGCCGAGAGAGUAUACCGGAGCUGUCCUUGCGCCCCGAGUAGCUAUAAGCUAAGAAUCGCUGAACAUAGCGGGCGCUAGGGUCCUUAAGAAAGGAGCUCCUGGACCGGGAAGGAUCGUAGCGUUGCCUAUCGACGGACAUGUCCUCCCAUACAUCAUGGUAGUGGGAGAGGAAAGGCUCUACGUAGUCACAGGCACUCUCCGCAUACUCCCUAGUCUCAGCAUACUCUCUAGUGAUAAACCCAAAUGCCAGAUUGAAUUGAGUAAUGGAGAAAUUGAAUUCUCGACCCAUGAGCCGGAAAUGAAUGACAUUCGGUGUUUCACCCGUGUAUCUCGUAGGUAAUUCGAACUCAAAGGUGGAGUAAAACUCCCGGAUCAGCUCAACAAAAGCGGGACAAGAAAUAUGGAAAUAUGGGCGCCACCCAAUGGCUGUGAACAUUUGCUCAACCUCCUCCCGUAUACCCAGGGCAGUUAGAGAGAGUCUAUGACAAGACUUACAGGAUAUUAUACGCCUCUCGCAGACCUUAGCGUACCUCUGCCGAUCGGCGGGUCUGGUAAAUGUUAAGUGCCCCCCAAAAUGAACAGGUGCAUCUACCUGAGCACCCCUAUCCCUACCCAAACGGGUUCGAACACUAGAAGAGGAGGGUAGGUUGGUAGGUGAGUUGACAGGAAUAGAGGCUUGUGGAGGGGGUUGAGACUGAGAGGUCCUAGACCUAGAGGAGGAUUUCGGUCUCACCAUUCCCCCCAAAGUAAGUUCAAGGCAACAGAAAAUCCGACAAGUAUAGAAACCAGCAAUUGACAAAGCAAAAAUCUCCCAGUAGUAACCCAGCCAAUAGCAAACAAAAGAGUUCCAGCAAGUAAUCAACAAGCAAUUCAGAAAUAUCUCAACUAAAAUCUCAAGAGAAACCCCAGCGAGUUAUCCAGCAAUUCAAGCAAUAUCCCCAAGCAAUGUGGUGGUCAAAAUGUCAUCUCCAAAUUGAACAAAUAAUCAGAGCAUUGCAACACAUUGAAAAUCUCAAUAAACGGCUCCAGUUGGCCAAGAAAAAUUGCUAACUCAUACUCAGCAAUAGUAGUGCAGCAAAGGGACAGUAACCACGCAAUAAAAACACUUAGCUUGCACUCAAAUGGUCACCCCAAAUAACAACCCAGUAUGAAACCCGCAGGCAGAGUAUUCCUCAAACCGUUAGCCUAAACCCAGUCAACAACCACGGCCAGAAAUAACCCCAUAAAUAGUGCAAUGAGUAAUCCCCAGCAACAUAAUCAGGUGUAAUCAACUGGAGCAAGCAAUUUACAUGGCAUAGAAACCUCCCAAUCAAACAAGUGCAUUAUUCUAGCGCACCCCAAAAUUCCAAGAAAUGGCUCCAGUUGGCCAAUUAAUUUCACAAUGUCACCCAACUCAGGAGAAAUAGCAAUUCCACACAAAAAUAGUCAAACCAGUACCACUGGCGAAAAAUCUUUCAAAUAUGCACAAUUUGCUACCAAAUAUCACCGGCUAACACUGAAAAAUUGAGGGCAAGUGUCAAAUACCUCCACAGGGACUACCCCAGGCGGCAGACAGAGAAGCGGCGUUGAAGCUGGUGGUCGAGCGGGGCGGCGCUCGCGUCGGCGUGCGCAGCGGCGACGGCGCGCGAGGAUGGAGUUUCGGGAGGUUGCGUGCGGGCUUGGCUGAAGACGCGGCGCGCGCUAGGGCUUCGCUGCGGCAGGCGUGCAGCAGGGGAGAAGAAAGAAAAGAGAAAGAAAGAAAGAAAAAGAAAGGAAAGAAAGAACAGAAAAGAAGGAAAAGAAAAAGGAAUUUUUCUUUUUUUUCUUUUUCUUUAGGCUACGGUUUAGAGGACAAAUUUUUCUUCUUCUUGUUUUCUACUUUUUUAUUUUUUUAUUUUUUAGUUUUUAAUUUAUUACUAUUAUUAUCAUAUUUAAUUGAGGAAAAAAAAUGUUUUUUUUUAAAUCCCUACCUUUCCCACGAACGUGACGCGGGCACGUCAAGAGGGCAAGAGAGCUCCCAGAAGUUUCAGAAUUUUCUGAUCGUAAGCGUCCUGCACAUCACCACGCGGGCACGUCAUGAGGACAGGAGAGCUCCCAGAAGUUCAGAAUUUUCUGAUCGUGAGCGCCCUGCACGUCACCACGCGGGCACGUCAUGAGGCCAGGAGAGCUCCCAGAAGUUUGAAGUUUCUGAUUCCUGCCCGUCAUCACGCGGGCGCGUCAUGACUGAAGGUCACCUACAAAUCAGCAAAAACGAAAACUAACACCCAAAAUCAGUCAAAUUCAGGGAAAGCAGAUUUAAACUAUGCUACAAAACCAACAAACAAUUAAAAGAAAUAAUUAGGUUGCCUCCCAAUGAGCGCCUUUCUUUAAUGUCUUUGGCUAGACAUGGUAAAGUGUCACUGAUUAGGACACGGUGGUGCGUCAAGCCUUAUUGUCUCCACCUCUCUACCUGAAAAUCCUUCGUAAUAAUAUUUGAGACGGUGUCCAUUCACCACAAAUUUGUUGUCUGUCUUAGCACUCUGGAUCUCAACUGCACCAUAGGGAAAAACAUGAGUAACAAUGAAAGGUCCAAUCCAACGGGAACGUAGCUUACCUGGGAAUAGCUUGAGCCUGGAUUGGUACAGGAGGACCUUCUGACCAACUUCAAAUGUUUUUCUUGAAAUUUGUUGGUCAUGAAAUGCCCGGCUUUUCUCCUUAUAUAUCAAGGCGUUUUCGUAUGCUUCGUUCCGGAUCUCCUCCAAUUCUUGCAAAUCCAACUUCCGUUGAGCACCGGCCUCCUCUAAAUUCAUAUUGCAGUGCUUUAUCGCCCAAAAAGCCUUGUGCUCGAACUCCACUGGAAGGUGACACGGCUUCCCAAAUACCAACCUGUACGGUGACAUCCCAAUAGGAGUCUUGUACGCCGUCCGAUAGGCCCAGAGUGCGUCUUCCAACCUUUGGCUCCAGUCUUUUCUAUCAGGGCGCACCAUUUUCUCUAAAAUGGACUUAAUCUCCCGAUUCGACACCUCCGCUUGACCAUUGGUCUGAGGGUGGUAUGACGUUGAGACCCUGUGGAGUACACCAUACUUGCGAAACAACGCAGCUAUGGUUUUGUUGCAAAAGUACGUUCCCCUAUCACUGACAAUAGCUCUAGGCAUUCCAAACCGCACAAAGAUAUUAGACCUGAUAAAAUCUGCAACUACUCUCGAAUCAUUAGUUCGAGUGGCCUUAGCCUCCACCCAUUUAGACACAUAAUCAACUGCCAGCAAAAUAUAUAAAAAACCAAAUGAAGUAGGAAAAGGCCCCAUGAAAUCUAUACCCCAGACAUCAAAAAUUUCAACAAAAAUCAACGGGACCUGGGGCAUUUGAUCUCUACGGGCUAUAUUACCUACCAUUUGACAGCGAUCACAUGACUUACAAAACACAUAGGCAUCUCUAAACAAUGAAGGCCAAUAAAAUCCACUUUCUAAAACCUUAUGAGCAGUUCUCUUAGGUCCAAAAUGACCUCCACAGGCAAAAGUAUGACAAAAAGCUAAAAUUGAUUGAAAUUCCAUUUCACUUACACAUCUCCUCAUCACUUGAUCGGCACACCUCUUCCAUAGGUACGGGUCAUCCCAGAUAAAAUACUUGGCAUCGCUCUUCAAUUUAUCCCUCUUCGAUUUCGGCCAACCUGCAGGAAAAUUACCAGUUACCAAAUAAUUGACCAAAUCAGCAUACCAAGGCAACUGAGAAUUUAAGAAAAAUAGGUAUUCUUCGGGGAAUGCAUCCUUCAAUGGCUCGCUAUCCUCUUCAACUAGUAUGCGACUCAAAUGGUCCGCUACUAGAUUUUCUGAGCCUUUUUUGUCCCUUAUCUCCAAGUCAAAUUCCUGUAGGAGCAGUAUCCACCGUAUGAGCCUCGGUUUUGCAUCUUUCUUGGUCAUCAGGUACCUCAAUGCUGCAUGAUCAGAAAAUACAAUCACUUUAGCACCUAACAAGUAUGACCUAAAUUUUUCCAAAGCAAAAAUAACUGCCAGAAGCUCCUUCUCAGUGGUGGAAUAAUUCAACUGGGCUCCAUUCAAGGCCCGGGAUGCGUAAUAGAUGACAUGAGCCGCCUUGCCUAUUCUUUGCCCCAGUACAGCCCCAACAGCGUGAUCACUGGCAUCGCACAUGAUCUCAAAUGGCAAAUUCCAAUCGGGGGGUUGGAUGAUUGGGGGUGAAGUCAGCAAUUCCUUCAGCUUGUUAAAGGCUCUCUCACACUUAUCAUCAAAUUCGAAGGCUACAUCUUUUUGUAGGAGUUGGAACAACGGGGCUCCAAUCUUUGAAAAAUCCUUGAUGAACCUUCGAUAAAAACCUGCAUGUCCAAGAAAAGAGCGCACCUCCCGCACACUCGCGGGGUAAGGUAAUGCAGAAAUAAUGUCUAUUUUAGCCUUGUCAACUUCUAUGCCCUUAGACGAUACAAUAUGACCCAGGACUAUUCCGUGCUCAACCAUAAAAUGACAUUUUUCCCAAUUAAGCACAAGAUUAGUCUCUAUACACCUGAUCAGGAUUAAUUUCAGGUUAUCUAGACAAGUAUCAAAACUAUCACCAUACACACUGAAAUCAUCCAUGAAAACUUCUAUUAUUUUCUCAACAUACUCGGAAAAGAUGCUUACCAUACAUCUUUGGAAAGUCGCAGGUGCAUUGCACAACCCAAAUGGCAUUCGUCUGUAGGCAAAGGUCCCGAACGGGCACGUGAAGGUUGUCUUCUCUUGAUCCUCCGGGGCAAUUGCUAUCUGAAAGUAUCCUGAAAAUCCAUCCAAAAAGCAAUAAUAAGCCCUACCAGCUAAACGUUCAACCAUUUGGUCAAUGAAAGGGAGAGGGAAAUGGUCCUUUUUGGUGACGGCGUUUAGCCUACGGUAAUCUAUACAUUGCCUCCAUCCAGUGGGUUUGCGCACUGGCACGAGCUCACCAGUUUGGUUGGCCUCUACCGUCACUCCUGCAUUCUUUGGGACUACCUGGACCGGACUCACCCAAGGGCUAUCAGAUAUUGCAAAAAUGAUGCCCACAUCUAGCAAUUUUAGAAUCUCUUUCUUUACGACUUCCAUCAUGAGGGGAUUGAGCCUUCUUUGAGCCUGCCUAACAGGUUUGGCAUCGUCUUCCAGCCUAAUCCGGUGCAUACAAAUGGCCGGGCUGAUCCCCUUAAUGUCUGCGAUUGUCCAGCCUAUUGCCUCUUUAUGCUCCCGAAGGACCCGGAUCAAUUUCUCUUCCUGGGUCUUUGACAGUGCCGAUGAGAUAAUCACUGGGAGUGUCUCAUUAUCACCUAGGUAUGCGUAUUUCAGGUGCUCUGGUAGAGGUUUCAACUCCAGUACAGGUGCCUGCACCACAGAUGGCAAUACCCUCUGGUGAGCCUUGGGAGUAAAAAUAGGUAAGACUUCAUACCUUUUCGUGGUGGUCUGCAACGAGUGUAAUGCACCUAUUGUGCAUUUUAAAUCCUCGCUCCACUCCACCUCAGGAGUUGUCUCCAACUCGAGGUGCUUGGUUAAAGCCACCUCCAGCUCAUCCCUGCCAUCAGUUUCAAACACUUCCUGCACUACAGGGUCAAUAGCACUCACAGAAAAAACUGAGCUAAAGUUGGAGUUAGAGGGGUACUUCAUAGUAUCAAAAAUAUUAAAAUGCACAAUUUACCCAUCAAACUCCAUGGACAAGGUACCCUUAUUAACAUCAAUUUUCGUCUGCGCAGUGCUCAUAAAAGGUCUACCCAAUAACAAAGGUGAGGGAUCAGGGGAGUGAUCAUCAUCCAUAUCUAGUACAUAAAAAUCAGCUGGAAACACCAAAUCAUUAACCUUUACCAACACAUCUUCAAUCAACCCAUCAGGAUAUGCAUUAGUUCGGUCAGCUAAUUGAAUAAUUAUUCCAGUUUCUUUUAAUGGACCUAGUUUCAAAGAAGCAUAGAUAGAUUUAGGCAUGACAUUAAUUGAUGCUCCCAGAUCCAGCAUGGCCCUUCUGAUCACAGUAUUACCUAUCUUACAGGGAAUAGUAAACAUACCUGGGUCCCCGCACUUUGGUGGGAGCUUUCUCUGCAGGACCGCAGACACAUUUUCUCCAACUAUGACCCGUUCAUCUCCCCUCAACCGCCUUCGGUUGACACACAAGUCCCUUAGGAACUUGGCAUAUUUUGGUACUUGUUUGAUGGCGUCUAAGAGGGGGAUAUUUAUCUCAACCUUGCGAAAAACCUCCAAGAUCUCCUUCUCCUUAUCCUGCUUCUUCGAUUUUUCCAACCUGCUAGGAAAAGGAGGCGGGUUAGUUUUAACUGUAAUUAUUGGGUCAGGAAGUACCUCUGGAUCUGCACCAUUGCUGUCCUCCCUUUCGAGCUCAUUUUCGAUCUUCUCUUCAUCCUUGUCCUUGGGAAUCACAGGUUCAGGCCCCUGAAUUUCUUUCCCACUCCUUAGGAUCAUUGCGCUCACGUUCUUCGGAUUCAACUCCGGUUGAGAUGGCAGCUUCCCUUGGUUCUGGGACUCCCAACGGUUCAUUCUGGUGGCCAAUUGACCUAUCUGAUUCCUUAUGUCCUGCAUUUCGGAGUCCGUCUUUUGCUGAUUUUGCAUAAUAGCUGCCUCCGUCCUUUGCUGAUUCUGCGCCAUGGUUGUCAUCAUUUGUUUCAGCAUCUCAUCCGUAGAUGAACCAGAUUGAGGGAGCGGAGGUGGUCGGGGUUGGUAUUGCUGCUGGUACCCUGGUGGCUUAUUUGGCACAAAGUUAGACUGCCUGUUUGGCGUGAAGUUGGAUUGCCUAUUUCCACCAUAACUGAGGUUGGGAUGAUCUCUCCACCCGGGGUUGUAGGUGCUUGAGUAAGGGUCGUACUGCUUCCUUGGCGCGGGCGCGUGGUCAGCCAUGUUCACCUGUUCCGCAGUUUCUUCCUGAAUCAUUGGGCACAUGUCUGCAGAGUGACCUAUACCAGUGCAAAUCCCGCAUACCCUGGCUUGUGAUGCAUUUCUCACAGCCUAUUGCCUAACGAACGCAGUCAACUCAUUUAGCUGCUGCUGCACAGAGGGUGUCUCUAUCUCAUUCACCCUACGUAUUGGGACAUCCUAUCUUGUACUGAAUUGCUGUGAAUUCUCUGCCAUCCCCUCUAUUAACUCCCGUGCUUCCUGAGGGGUUUUGUUCACCAGUGCCCCUCCACUUGCAGCAUCAAUGAUGCUCCUGUCUCUAAAAAUGAGCCCCUCAUAGAAAUAUUGUAUGAUCAACUGCUCACUUAUUUGGUGAUGGGGGCACCUGCGCAACAAGCUCUUAUACCGUUCCCAAUACUCGUAAAGUGACUCCUCGGGAUGCUGCUUGAUCCCACAAAUUUCUUUCCUUAGACUCGCAGCCCUGGACGCAGGAAAAUAUUUAUCCAGAAAUUUUUUCUUCAAUUGGUCCCACGUGGUGAUGCUACCUGGUGACAGGUAGUACAGCCAGUCCUUCGCAGAAUCUUUCAAGGAGAAGGGGAAUGCCCUCAUUUUUAUCUGCUCUUCUGUGAUUCCCGGGGGUUUCAUACUGUUGCAAACGACAUCAAACUCCUGCAGAUGCUUAUACGGCUCUUCACCUGGUAAACCAUGAAAAGAGAGUAAAAGCUGAAUCAGACCAGAUUUUAGUUCAAAUGGAAUGUUGUCAUUUAAAGCUGGGAAAGUAAUGCAUAACGGCUGCUGAGUUAAAUCAGGAGCAGCCAACUCCCUUAAUGUUUAUGCAUUAGCCAUGGUGCCUUCCUGCUGGUCAGAGUCACUCGAAGUGUUACCAAACGAAUCUGUUGGUUCAACUUCUGACUCGGGUCUUUGAGAUGUAGCACUAGAGUGCUCUUCUCUGAGCUGUCUGGUUUCCUUUCUCGUUCUACGCGCGGUCUUCUCUACCUCAGGAUCAAAAACCAAAUCACCUGUGCGACAAGAUCGAGGCAUACACUAGAAGAAAACCAGAAAAUUAGGACAAAAUUGAAUUUAAGAAGAAACAAAUAAUAACGCCAGUCCCCGGCAACGGCGCCAAAAAUUGACAGGUCGUCAACCUGUGCAAUAAUAAAAUUAAACCUAAUUGCCAGUUAAAAUGACCAAAACCCAAUUCCAAGUACUGGAGCAGGGACUCUAGGUGUGCAAUGGGUUACUUGAUUCACCCUGUUCCCGAAGAGUUUGCUUGAUCCGAUAUACCCGAAUGGAAUGGUUAUUCCUUUUCACAAAUGAUUAGGAAUUUGUAGACAGGGCAAGUAGGGUCGUAUCCACAGAGACUGGGUAUAUUUGUUUCUUAAGAAAUCCAAAGUAACACAGGGGGUGAUUUUGUAGGAACGACGAUAAUUAAAUAAAUUCAAAUGAGAAAGUAAAAAUAAAUAAUUAACUAGAAAUUAAACCACAAUUUACUGAACUCAGGAUAACAAUAGUUAAAGGCCUCAAUUAAUUAAAAUAAGGAAACAAUCAAAAAUAAAAUAAAGUAGGUAAUUAAAAGUCAAAUGGCAAUCCACUACAAUCAAGGAAAUAUUAACUAAAGAUCUAGCCAAGAAAUAACUUCAGCAAUGGUUCACCUAAUCGAUCAUUGAUGCAAAGCAAUCCCAAUUAUUUACUAAUAAAUAGGUUAUAACUACCAAACAAGCGAUGGCAGUCAACCCCUCCUUACUGUGUCGGUGAUCAAGGUACGCCCGUUAAUCACUGCUCUAAUUGAGAAAUAAUCCUAGGUACGCCCGUAGAAUUUAAUUCCCCAACUGCCUUACGUAUUAGAGGAGCCCUAUUCUACCCAAAUAACACACUACCAGGGUUAUUUUAGAUUAGCCCGCGUAUCCCCCUGACACGAAUCUAAUCGUGCCAGUUGUCACUAAUUUGAGGUAAUUAAACAAUUACGGAUUCAAUACCCCAAUUGACAAUAGAUUAUCAAACCAAUGAAUUAUCCGGAUCCAAGACAAUCAACUAAUUAAAUAAUCAUAAGCACUGCAACCAAGGAAUAUGCGAAUACCAAUAAAUAAAGGAAAAGAUAAAAUUAAAUCGAUCUCACAAUUUACAGGUGAUCCAAAGCAUCAGUCGUUUCUUGACUAGAACGAGGGGGUUAGCUCAUAUUGGAUGAACUAAGCCCGCGGGAAAUUCCAGCAAAAGUCACGGCCGUUGUAUGCAUUUCAAGAGCCGCAAUUCGUCAAACACUUGGAAAGCGAAUGUAAGGCACGGGUAACAAUUGAAGCUUUCUAAUUGUUCCUAGCAUUCGUAAAGCAAAUUCACUCCAGAAGUACAGUGAGGAAAAGUCAAAGAAAGUGGGCUUCAAUUCCUUGCUCCUGACAUGCGUGGAGACAAGCCAAUGCAAGACUACAAUAAACUAACAAGGAAAAGUCAAGAAUUGGAGCUAAGCUCCCCUGCCAUGCGCAGGAAUCCGAAAAGUAAAAAGUAAAGCUUCAAAGAAAAGUCAACAAUUCUUCCUAAGCUACAGACGGAAGAUCCAGCACAAAAGCCAGCUCCCUUUUUUAUCCCUUUUUCCCCCUUCUUAUUGCGGCGGCUCACCAGGAGAGGAGAGCCCUCCGUCCGUCCUUUCUUCCGAAAAUUACCAAAAUGGGCAUGACAUCUUCUCUUCCAAAAGUGCCCCUGGGACAAGCUUUCUCAUCUGAAUUCUUUUUUUUUCCAAUUUGGCACCUGUUAUCAUAUUUAUAUUCUACUCCCUGAAAUAAACGUCAAAUACUAAAAGUGAGUAGAAUCCAGCAAAUAAAUCCACAUCAAGUCAGGUAAUAGGAGGAAUUAAUAAUAAAAUAAAUGAAUAAAUUGCACCCUAUCAGAAAAAUGCAAAAAUUUGUUAUUUAUCAUUAAGGAUCAUAUCGCAUAUAACAUCAAAAAAUAGUAUAUUAUUUAUAUCUUUCACUUAAUAUAAUAUCCAAAUUACUCUUUUCAGUUACAUACCCAUUGUUAGACAAAAUCAACAACAAAUAACCAAAAAAUUUGCAACCAAAAUAUUACCAAAAAAAUAAACUUUAACAUCAUAAAUAUUUUUAUCAACAUAUUAAAGUUAGUUAUUGAAAUUUUUAUGGUGUUAAACUUCACUCUUAGCAAUAUUUUGGUUACAGAUUUUUUUGAUUAUUUAUUGUUGAUCGUGUUUGACAAUGGAUUUGUAACUGAAAAGAAUAAUUUGAAUCUUACAUUAAGUGAAAUAUAUAAAAUAUUAUACUAUUUUUUAUGGCAUAUGUGAUUCUUUUUUUUUUUUUUAUCAGAACGGCAACAUUGUAUUAAUAGUAAACCAAUUACAGUAUAGGUGGGCAACCGCCCUCACAAUCUGCCUGGACUUGUUCCAGCAGCCAAACUGGGAAGUUUUCCUUCCAUUCAGUAUUUUGUUCCAAAGUAAUAGCUACUUUAGCUAGUUUAUGGCUAACAAAGUUGUUCACCCUAUUUGCAAAGGUAAAACAACAUUCAUCAAAUUUUAUUCAUGUACAAUUGUUGCUAUCACCACGUCCUCCUCCUCCUCCUCACUGCACACUACUUGACUACCACCCUUCGCCAACCUUGCUGUUGCAUGUGCAACUAUCAUGGCCUCUCUUAGCGCCUUUGCUUCUUCGACCUUUGGACUGGCACAGCUAAAAUUUGGAACAGCCCAGGCCCACCCGCAAUCUUCCCAACCAAUCCCUGGCCACCCUUUUCCCACCCAGCUUCUAUGGCAUGUGUGAUUCAAUCCUUCUUGAUAGGAUUGGUAAUAGAGGCAGAGGGGGGAGCCGGCUGCAUCCGGUCUACUUUUCAUAGAUAGUACAAUAUUGCGAAAUCGAUCGCAUUCACACAAGAAUAUUUCGAAGUCAUUGCAUCGCUAAGUUGCAAAAAAGUACAAACACUUGUUAUUAUAUAGCUUAAGAUUCAAAACUUUAGAGCACAACCCUCCACCUAACACAAUUGAAUAAUGAAUAUUCACGAUUGUCAAAUCUGUCAAAGCACAGUUUGAGGACAACCCAUUCCAACCUGCAAAAGAUUUUUGACUUUUUUAAAGUUGUUGAGAGCUGUAAAAAGACUUACCAUGCUUACAUCUUCCGAGCCUUGGGAGUUAAAAAUGAAGGCACUGAGUGCUAUAAAAAGGGGGCUAGAGGCUGCCUAGAAGCAUAUCAGCCUAAAACAAGAAUUUGUAGUUAUGAUGGGAAGCAAAGCAAAAGCAAUGGGGUCUGGGCUGACUCCUCUUCUUACCACUGUUUUAGUGGUAUUUGUUGCUCUUGGCUUGCCCUCAGAAACUGCAGCUGAUGAUCACUACAAGUAUUCAUCUCCUCCUCCUCCUUACCACUAUCCCUCACCACCACCUCCAGUGCAUUUACCUCCACCAGUGUACAAAUACAAGUCCCCACCACCACCUCAUCAUGUUUACAAGUACAAAUCUCCACCACCCCCACCACCACACCCAGUUUACAAGUAUAAGUCGCCACCACCACCUCCUCAUCCGGUAUACAAGUACAAGUCUCCUCCGCCACCUCCUCAUCCGGUACCACACCCAGUUUACAAGUAUAAGUCACCACCACCACCUCCUCAUCCGGUACCACACCCAGUUUACAAGUAUAAGUCUCCUCCGCCACCAGUUUACAAAUAUAAGUCUCCUCCACCACCACCUCCAGUGUACAAAUACAAGUCUCCACCACCACCAGUUUACCACUACAAGUCUCCACCACCUCCUCCCCCAGUUUACAAAUACAAGUCUCCACCACCACCACCACCAGUUUACCACUACAAGUCACCACCACCUCCUCCCCCAGUUUACAAAUACAAGUCUCCACCACCUCCUCACCACUACUAAGCAAUUGCUUCUGAGGUAAUAACACUUGUUCAAUAUACCCACUUCUGCAUGAUAAAGCAUAUCUCUAUCAACACAAACUGUCAUGUCUAUCAUGCUAAGUGCCUUCACUUCAUCCACCAAAAUGACUGCUAGAAAAUUUUUUUUAUGUUACCAAAGAAAGGCAUCAUUUUUUCCCUCUGUUAUCAAGAACUUGUACAGUAUAUAGAUUAAAGAGUAUUUUUUUAACUAGCUUAUCAACUGAGAAAUGCAUAUAGCUGAUAGCCAGCUGAAUAUUUGCAGGCAAAGGAGAAGGAAACCAGUGUUUGAGACCUUCUUGAAGAUGUAGAAGCAUAAGAAUUAAAGCCCAAUGUGAAGAUGAUGAUUUCAAGUUUUUCUACGUUACCAUUUCUUUAUCUAAAUUGGUUGUAGCGCCUUAGUUCCUUUGUUUAUGGGAUUUGUAUCGUUUUACGUACCAUGCAGUACAUGUCAUGUUUGUAAGGUUUUCUAUCCUGCCGGCAAACCGCAGGUUCCAUGUAAUAAAUCAAUACUAUUUAUAUUACGACACUUUUCUCUGUUUCUCUUAUAUUUUGUCGUCUUUAAUAUUCUUAAUCAUAUUUUUAACAAAAAUAUUCAAACACUUAGGCAAUCUGGUCUAAUGCUAAUUGUAUGUUUUACUUUUCUUUUUCACCUGCUCCCCUUUUCAACUCAAAAGGAUGCAAUAGUUUGUGAUCACUGUUGAAGACGGAAGCAUGAUACUAAUGAAUAUAUCAUUGAAACUCAAGGAAACUAACAUUAUGAAAAGUGUAAAUCUUGAUUUGAUGCAACUAUUUAUUCGUGGAAUCUAUAGUUACAAAACUCAAACUCUGACUGCGCCAUUGAUAAAUUAUUAAUGACGCUAUCAUCAUUAUUUAUCCCCAACUAGUUUCGACUACAACUGAACCCAAUAUUUUCCCCAUGAUAAAAGUUUUUUACUAUUUUACUGGCCUCUCUUCAAAUUUUAAAAAUUACACUAAUCUUCAUUGAGAUUAAUUAUCUUGUAGCAUUUAAGUCCAAUUAAUAAUUAAAAAAUAAUAUUAUGAGAGAGAAAAUAAUAUAAUUUUAUCAUUGCCCCCCAUCUUGCUAUAUUAUUUAAUUAAUUUAAUAGCAACCCACACAUUAAAGAAAAAUACUAAAAUUUGCUGCUUUUCAUUAAAGAUCAAAUUGCAUAUGCCAUAAAACAUAGUAUAUCAUUCUAUAUGUUUCACUUAAUGUAAGAUCCCAAUUGUUCUUUUCAAUUACAAACCCAUUGUCAAACAUGAUCAAUAACAAAUAACCAAAAAAUUUGCAACCAAAAUAUUACAAAAAAAAACUUUAACAUCAUAAAUAUUCUUACCACCUCUAGUGCAUUCACCCUCAUAAAAUAAUUCAAGACCCUACUGUCAUAAAAUGACUGAUCAACUCCUGUAAACCUAAUUUGACAACAUUUAAAUGGAGAACUUUAGCUAAAAGAAUUAUGGUCAAGCUAAAGAAAAAACCAGUUAUUUUCCAACAUAUGCAAUCAUUGAUCAGGGAAAAAAAAAAGAAGCAAAAAGACAUCUUCAAUCAUUUAAUAGCUUACAGGGCAAAUUAACCCCUAAGCGAAAACUGGUUGCUCUAGAAUCAAAAUUUUACUUUAGUUACCCAGGCAACUUUUUUUGUUGCCUUUUCUUUUUCUUUUUUGGGUAUAUAUAUAGCUCCAGUUUUGCCCCCUCUGUCAAGCUUAUAUAAUUAUUAAGAUAAUAAAAGUGCCUUUAAUAGUAUUAAUAUAUCCAUUGACUUGAGCUGUCAUCGAUCGGUUUGGGCUACUUCGAUUCCAUGAGAACAAAUGGUAAUAAAAGUACUCAGAAAAUGGGGAGUCAUGAAACCCUUUUGUUCUAUUCAUUGCUAAGAUGCUUUUCUCUAUAAAGACACUUCCUAACGAAAAUACUUUGUAGAUUUCUUUACUCCAAGUGGUGCAUGGAAAAUUAAUAUUUUCAAUUAUCAAAUAAAAUUCCCUUUUUUCGGUGUAGAUUUCAUCCAUUCAGCUGUUAACACUCCGAAUUGACUAAUCUUUUCGUUUCCAUUUUCCAACUUGCGAAUACGGCAUCUUACAUAUUGUCUGCUGAAUAUGAAUACAUAUCCCUUUUCUGAGCAGGUGCAGAGUCAUUAUCAUUUUUAUUCCCACCUAACAAAUUAGUUAAUAAUCUUUUAAAGAACAUGUUAAAUUAAUUUAUUGGUAUGAAUAGUAGUCAAAGAAGUAUGUUAAAGUUAGUAAUCUUUAAAAUAAUAUGUUAAAAUUAUUCGUACAAAUUAGCCAGAGAAGUAGCAUAAACACCGCGAUGCAAUUAAUACUUUCAAUCUCAAGGUCUCUAUUAUGGAAAUUUGCAUCGGUCAACAUACACAAAGCAUUAUUGUAUGCACGUCUCUCUAUUAUGGAAAUUUGCAUAGGUCAAUAUACACUUGGCAUAGUUGCAUGCACGUCCAAUUUUUUUUUAUUUUUAUUUUUGGUAUUUUACUUCCUGCCUUAAGUUGCCUGCAGAUGUUUGUAUUACAAAUAUAUGGUAUACUAAAUAUAUAGUAUGCACAUUAAUUUCUUUGGGUUGCUUAAGGGUAUAUUGUUAAUAAUAGGGGGUUUAACCAUAAAUUAUAACAAUGAUGAAGUAAUAUAUAUUAGAAAAUUAACACAAUUAUGAUUUUUUUUUUUGUAAAAUUCAAAUUUUAUUAAUAAGAAAUGAAAUAGGCAGUAAGCAUUUACAAACCGAAAACAAAAUCCUACAACAACUCUAGGACUCUACACCUUAUUAAAAAAAAACAUUUUGAUAGCGUUUUUCCAAAAGCAGAAGAUGGAAAAUUGCCCAUUUGUACUGGGGAGUUCGUGAUCUUUUCCUCAUUCUAGUCUACUUACAAUUCUUGGAAAAAGGAAUACUCACAUCUCAAACAACAGCCUGUUCAUCUGCAGUGUCCUGCCGAAUUCUAGAAAGUUUGGUGGCAAUGUUAAUUACAUUUCAAAAUUGACUGCUGCGAUAACUAAUUCGAUGGCUUACUACAUGGUCAACGUUUGGAUCUCUUCCUGUCCUUUUUGGAUGCACAUUUUUUUUCUCUAGGUAAUAUAUAAUCUCCCAACUCAUUUCUUUACAAAUGCACCUUUAAUCACCACCAAAAGGUGUGGACAUGAUCUUUACCCUAGAAAACUAUUCACCGACAGGCAAAUUGACGUCAGAAAUACUAAGAGGAAUUCUAGUUUCCUUCGGGUUAAUGCCAUUUUGUACCCUUCAACUGUAACUCAAUUUCUAAGCUGUAAUUUGUGACAUUAUAGUCCUUAAACUAUGAAACCCUUUCUUAUUUAAUUACAAUGGUUAAUACAAUGCCCGUGACUAGACAAGUAUGAAGCAACCAUAACAAAAAAAAAAUCCAAAAUUAGAGAAAAGAAAGAAGUUGCGACCAAAGUAUGUAUCAAGGCAUAGUAUAGAAAUAAAAGUGUCAAAAUUAAGAGUUUAGGGAUAAAAAAGAAUCAAAAUAUAGUUUAGGAAUUGAUUUGUCUCAAUUAGAGUUUAGAUGUCAACUAAGAAGAGAGAUAUAGUUGAAGGGUAGAAUAUAGAUAUAACAGUUCAAUGAUUGAUAUCAACGAGACAAUGACAACUUUGGAUUAUUACCAACCUCUUCUUGAUGGAAAAGGAAAUAGAGAAGAAAGUCGGGCCUGGUCUAAGCCUGUUUCGGAGGCAAAACAACAUUAUGAAAUCACCGGCAUUCACACAAAUAUGUCAAAGUCACCGGCAUGCUAAGUUGCAAAAUUUAUACAAACACUGAAUAUUAUAUUCUUCUCAAAAUUUUUGUUUAAGAUUUAACAAUUAGAGCACGGUACACGAAUUAGCAAUAUUAAAUAAUGAAUGUUCACGAUUGAUAAAGUUAUCAAAGUACAGUUUGAGGACAACCCAUUCCAACGUGUACAAGAUGUUUAGCCUUUGAAAAGUUAAUUAGAGAAGGUGACGAGAUUUUACUAGGCUUACAACUUCUAGGCCUUGGGAGUAAAAAGUGAAGACACUGAGUGCUAUAAAAAGGGGGCUAGAUGUUGCCUAGAAGCAUAUCAGCCUCGGACCACAUUUUGUAGCAAUGGGGAGCAAAGCAAAAGCAAUGGGGUCUAGGCUGACUCCUCUUUUUACCACCGUUUUAGUGGUAUUUGUUGCACUUGGCUUGCCUUCAGAAACUGCAGCUGAUUACGACAAGUAUUCACCUCCUCCUCCUCCUUACCAUUAUUACUCACCACCACCUCUUGUGCAUUCACCUCCACCACCGCCAGUUUAUAAGUCACCCCCACCACCUUAUCACUACUUCUCACCACCACCUCCAGUGUAUCCAUCUCCACCACCAUCUGUUUACAAGUCACCUCCACCACCUUCGCCAGUAUACAAGUCCCCACCACCACCUUAUCAAUAUUCCUCACCACCACCUCCAGUGCAUUCACCUCCACCACCACCGAUUUAUAAGUCACCUCCACCACCUCCUCCAGUUUACAAGUCCCCGCCACCACCUUACCAUUAUUCCGCACCAUCACCUCCAGUGCAUUCACCUCCACCACCACCGAUUUACAAGUCACCUCCACCACCUCCUCCAGUUUACAAGUCUCCAUCACCACCUUACCAUUAUUCCUCACCACCACCUCCAGUGCAUUCACCCCUACCACCACCGGUUUACAAGUCUCUGCCACCACCUUACCAUUAUUCCUCACCACCACCUCCUAUGCAUGCACCUCCACCACCAAUAUACAAGUCACCUCCACCACCUCCUCCAGUUUACAAGUCUCCACCACCACCUUACCAUUAUUCCUCACCACCACCUCCAGUGCAUUCACCCCUACCACCACCAGUUUACAAGUCUCCGCCACCACCUUACCAUUAUUCCUCACCACCACCUCCUGUGCAUGCACUGCCACCACCAAUUUACAAGUCACCUCCACCACCUCCUCCAGUUUACAAGUCCCCACCACCACCUUACCAUUAUUCCUCACCACUACCUCCAGUGCAUUCACCUCCACCACCACCGAUUUACAAGUCACCUUCACCACCUCCUCCAGUUUACAAGUCUUCACCACCACCUUACCAUUAUUCCUCACCACCACCACUCUUCAAUUUGGAUGUAAUUCAAUUUUCCUUGUAAUCGGUGGCCCUCCUUCGGAAUCCAAAUAGUCAUUGAGUGCAGCCUUCUUUCUUUAUUUUUUACUCAUUUUCACCUCAUAAAUUGCUUUCAUCCCCUAAAACUUGUUCGCUGGAAUUUUGAAUUUACCCAUACAACUAAACUCAGAAAAUUCUUACACAAAGGGAUUAGUAGCAUGAAUAGCAAACACAGAAUAAGAGAUAACAGUAUGUUUUAUUGUAUUAAAAAUAUUAAAGUGGAUUAUUUCUCCAUCGAAUUCCAUUGUGAGAGUAUCGUUACUAACAUCAAUCUUAGUUUGAGCAGUACUCAAGAAUGACCUUCCUAAUAUAAUGGGUGAUGGAUUUGGGACACUUUCAUCAUCCAUAUAAAACACAUAAAAAUCAACAGAAAAAAUUAAUCCAUCUACUUGAACUAAAAACAUCCUCAACUACCCCAUUUAGAUAAGCAAAUAUACGAUCAGCCAAUUGAAUUAUUAUCCCUAUUUCUUUUAAAUGUUCUAAAUUUAGGGAAUCAUAAAUUGAUUUAGACAUCACAUUAAUAGAAAUCUUUAAAUCUAUCAUGGCAUUUUUUAUAUUAGAAUGUCCAAUCUUACAUGAGAUAGUAAACAUACCUAGAUUCUCGCAUUUAGGUGGUAGUUUCCUUUGUAAAAUUGCUGAAACGUUCUCAUCUACCACAAUAUGCUUGUCCUCCUCAAUUUCUUCUUGUUGACACACAAGUUUUUCAAGCAUUUAACGUAUUUUGGAACUUAUUUGAUUUGCGUCCAACAAAGGGAUAUUGAUUGCCACCUUGCGAAAAUCUCUAAAAUCUCCUUUUCUUUAUCUUGUUUCUUUGAUUUCUCUAACCUGCUUGGAAAAGGUGGUGAGUUAGUUCCAACUCUAAUUAUAGAAUCAACAAUUACCUUUGGAUUCACAUUUCUCAUUCCUUCCUCCUCAAGCUCUUUGUCGAUUCGAUCUUCAUUUUUAUCCUUUGGAAUCACAACUUCGGAUCCCUGAAUUUUCUUCUCGCUCCUUAAGGUCAUUACACUUACAUUCUUCAGGUUCAGUUCAGGUUGAGACGACAAUUUUUCAUAGAUUUGGGAUUCCAGGCGGUUGAUUGCUAUUACCAUCUGACUCAUCUGACUCUGCAGUGCUUGCACCUGUCCCAAUUGAUUCCUCAUACUUUGCAAGUCAAAAUCCAUCUUUUGUUGAUUAGCAAUUAAUUGCUUCAUUAUCUCUUCUAUAGAUGGACUUGAGUUUGAAAGAGGUGGUGGCGGGCGAGACUGAUACUGUUAUUGAUACCCUUGCUAUCUAUUUGGUGCAAAAUCUGGCUACCUAUUUCCUCCAUAGCUGAGGUUGGGAUGAUCUCUCCAACCAAUAUUGUACGUAUUCGUGUACGAGUCGUAUGGUUUUCUUGGCACGGCGCGUGACCAGCCAUGUUCACUUGCUCCGUACUUUUCUCUUGAAUCAUUGAGCACAUCUCUGUAGAAUGACCCAUAGCAGUGCAGAUCCCACACAUCUUGACUCGUGAUGCAUUUCCUAUAGCUAAUUGCCUAACAAAGGAUGUUAAUUCGGUCAACUGCUGUUGGAUAGAAUAUGUUUCUACCUCAUUUACUUUGCGUGUUGGGGCAUCCUCCCUCGUACCAAACUGUUGCGAAUUUUCCGCCAUUCCUUCAACUAGCUCCCACGCUUCUCGAGAAGUCUUGUUCACCAAUGCCCUUCUACUUGCAGCAUCAAUUAUACUCCUGUCUCUAAAACGCAGCCCCUCGCAAAAAUAUUGGAUGAGCAAUUGCUCACUUAUUUGGUGUUGAGGGAACUUGAUGCAUAACUUCUUGAAUCGCUCCCAAUAAUCAUAAAGCGACUCUCCUGGAUGCUACUUGAUACCGUAUAUCUCCUUCCUUAGACUUGCAGCUCGAGAUGCAAGAAAAUAUUUGUCCAAGAACUUUUUCUUCAGCUGAUCCCACGUGGUGAUGCUACCUGGUGGUAGAUAGCACAGCCAGUCUUUUGCGGAGUCCUUCAAGGAGAAGGGAAAUGCCCUCAUUUUUAUCUAUUUUUCUGUAAUUCUCGGAGGUUUUAUGCUGUUGCAAACGACAUCAAACUCUUGCAAGUGCUUAUACGGUUCCUCACCUGGUAAACCAUAGAAAGAUGGCAAGAGAUGAAUUAGACCAGAUUUUAACUCAAAUGAAGUGUUAUCAUUUAAAAAUAGAAAAGUAACUGAGAUGCAGCACUGGAAUGUUCUUCUCGAAAUUGUCUGGUCUCUUUCUUUGUUCUACGCGUAGUCUUCUCUACCUUAGGAUCAAAAAUUAAUUUACCUGUACGAGAAGAACGAGGCAUACACUAGAAAAACACUAGAAAAUUAGAACAAAAAUGAACAUAAAAAGAAACAAAUAAACCAACGUCAGUCCCCAGCAACGGCGCUAAAAAUUGACAAGUUGUCGAUGCCUGUGCAAUAAUAAAAAUAAACCUAGUUACCAAUUAAAAUAAUCAGAGCCUAAUUCUGAGUACUAGAGCAGGGACUAUAGGUGUGCAAUGGGUUACUUGAUUCACCCUAUUCCUGAAGUUUGCUUAACCCGAUAUACCAGAAUGAGAUUGCUUAUUCAAAAGGAAUUAUUGAUUUGUAAACAGGGCAAGUAGGGUCGUAUCAUCAGGGAUUGAAAAAAUUUGUUUCUUUUCAAAUCCACAGUAACAAGGGGAUGUUUUUGUAUAAAUGAUAACAAUCUAAGGAGUGCAAAUAGAAAUAAAUAGAUAACUAGAAAUUAAAUGACAAUUCACUAAAAUUAGAGUAAUAAUAAUUAAAGGUCUAGCUAAGAAAUAACUUCAGCAAUGGUUCACCUAAUUGAUCAUCGACGCAAAGGCAAUUCCAAUUAUUUACUAAUAAAUAGGUUAUAACUGCAAAACAAGCAAUGACAGUCAACCCCUCCUUACUGUCGGUCGGUGAUUAAGGUACGCCCAAUCACUGCUCUAGUUGAGAAAUAAUUUUAGGGACGCUCGUAAGAUUUAAUUUUCCAAUUGCCUUACGUAUUAGAGGAGCCAUAAUCUAACCAAAUAACGCUACCAGGAUUAUUUUAAAUUAACCCGUGUAUUCCCUUGAUACAAAUUCAAUCAUGUCAGUUGUCACUAUUUCAAGGUAAUGAAACAAUUACGGAUUUAAUAUCCUAAUUGACAAUAGGUUACUAAAUCAAUUCACUAUUUCGAUCCAAGAUAAUCAAUCAAUUUAACAACUAAUAGCACUGCAAUCGGAGAAUAUGUAAAUACCAAUAAAUAAGAGGAAAAGAUAAAAUUAAAUCGAUCUCACAAUUUUUAAACAAAUCAAAGUAUCCGUUGUUUCUUGACUAGAAAAGAAAAUUUAGUUCAUUCCUAAUGUGAAAGACCCACGUGAGAAUUCAAAAAUAAUAUUCACGGAUAUUGUCUUGAUUCAAUAGAUUCAAUUGCGUUGGAAUAAGGAUAAAAAGCCAAACUAUAGAGAGUGAUUCAAUGUUUUGUUUCGUUUGCAUUUUUUCUACACAUAUGGAAGAAGAAAAACAACUAAAGGACGAAAAAAAAAAGUCAAAGAAAGGCACCCAAAGUAGUGCUUGGUCUCUACCAUCCUAUUUCCUAUCUAAUUACUACUUCCCUUCUGCGGCUGCCUAGAGGAAGAAAGAGAAAGCAGACUUCAGGUCUUGUUCCAUCUCCUCCCUUUUCGGCAAUUCCCCAAAAGUAGAAAAGUUCCUCCGUUUACCAAAAUGCCCCUGGAAUGAGGACUGCUACUUGAACUCAUUUUCUUGAUAACUGUCAAAUUAGCACUUGUUAUGGUAUUUGCGUCUACUUCCUGUAAUAAAUGUAAAUUGCCAAAAGUGAGUAAACUGAUAAUUAAUUUACAUCAGGUCAGGUAAUAGGAAAAAUUAAUUAUAAAAUAAAUGAUAAAAUUGCAACCUAUCACUUAGAAUAACCAGAAAUAAAACAAAACAAGAAAUGAAAGAAAUAAGAGGGUAGCAUAGACAUUUUGGAUUUUUCUGUUAAUUUGGAUGAUUUCCACCUACGGUCUAAUUUAAUCCAAAACACAAAUGGAUUAUGUGGAGAUUUUUAAACAAUGAGGGAGUAUCGUGACCGAAUCCCAAACCACAAAGGGGAUUUACUAUAUUUUACUCUUAAAUUUUGGUUUCAUCUCAUAGCAUACAAGAGUACUAUUUCACUGUCUGUCGACCAGGGAGGAGGGUUGGGUUGGGUGGUACGGGGGAGGGAGUCUAAGUAAGAGGUCUCAGGUUCGAAUCCUCCUGUUUAUACUAAAAAAAAAAAUUUACUAUCUGUCGACAAAGAUUUUCUAUGGUUGAUGUACCAUAGGAAAAAUCUGCCUAUACAAUUAUUUGGAAAAAUUAUCCAUCCAAACAUAGUCACGAUAGCAUUUUUUCAAAAACACUAGAUGCAAAAUUGUCCCCUUAAACGUGGAAAUUCAUGAUCUUUCCUCGACUAGUCUACUUGUCAAUUUUUGAAAAAAGAAUACUCACGCCAAAAACACGGCCUCUUCAUCUGCAGAAUUCUAAAAAGUUACGUAAACUCUAUAAACAAGUUGAUAGGUACAAUCGUACCCAAGAUCAAGUACAGAUAGUUGUACAUUCACUGCUGCAAUAACUAAUCUGAUGACUUACAAACACAUCAUGGUCAAUCGUUGAAUGGUAAUGAGUCUUUUGUUAUGCAUUAGUAUUAGUGUGUACACUCUAAUAGAUUGAUACUUAUACUCUUUAAAUUAUCAUAAUAAUACCCUUAAUUAACUUUAACCCUUAAAAAGAAUACGUGUUAAUACACGAGAGUGUGUAACCUGAAUUGUUACUUAUACAUUAGUGUGUAAUAGAACGGCAAGCAUUAUGGUGGUCAUUGAGCAACUUAUAGGAGAAAUAGUCCUAUAAGCUGUUCAAUGACCAAUCACAACUUGCUAAUUGGAUGACUAAUAUAGCUCUAGCUGUAAUGUUUUAAUUAAAUUCCACACUAACGUUGGGAUGACUUUUUAAUCAAAAAAAAAAAAGCCUUAGUUCAAGCUUUUCCCCUUAUUGUGCAUUUUUUAAAACAUUUGAUAGGCACUGCAAAUCUGUCAUUUUGGACAUUUUAUUAUUAACUAACAAUGAAAGCCGUGGACAUCAACCCAUAUCCAACAAAAUAUUAAAUUAAUAUUAGAAAAAUUAUUAAGUAAUUGGAAAAAAAAAAGAAGAGGCUAAUUUUCAUUGAAACCCACCGACAAACUAUCCGUGUCCAUAGCUUUUGAAUAGUGCAUUCAACGUUUAAUUGUAUGGUCCAGUUCAUUGCCGAUUACAUGGAGUAAAGAUUGUGCUCUUUCCUUUUUCACCCCUUUUGGAAUCGAUACUGUGGAGAAUUGGGUUUUUCCCUCCUUUUUUUCUUUUCUUUCCUUCUGUGCUUUGCAAAACAUACGUAAAAAUAUGAAAUCCGAAGCAUUCUUUAAUUGGGAUUAAGUAUUGUUGUUGAAAUUAAAAAGAAGAAAGAAAGAACAACAAAAAUCCCAAUCUGGGUUGAUUGUUGAGCUCUAGAUUGGCUGCAUCGUGCUUCCAUAGAAGUUCUCUUAGUGUGAUACGCUGCUUUCAAUCAGUUUUAAUAUUUAAGUAGAGUGCAAAAUAACUUUACUAUUUAAUGGGUUAUAAUGCACCAUUUGGUACCUCUCACCCACCUAUGAUUUGAUUUACUACUGGCAUGGUAAUGGACAGAGUUGGGGGAGCAGGAGGAGGGAGAUGGCGGUACCAGUCCGUCAACCACAGCACACCCUCCCUCGGACUUUGCGUGGUAGCGAAGUGGAGGCAGAUCGAGCACACAUGCACUAACGCCUUAAGUAUGUACAAUAUAUGUAUGCCAAAAGCAUAGCCAAGCCUACCAGCGCAUUUCAAUAAUAUAACCCGGAAAUUAAGGGCAUUGAAUUAAGUACGAUGAAUCAUAUUGGUGCACAAUUACAGUUUGAAGCUACCGAUUCGAGUAAAUUUAAGCGUAAGCACAAUCAAUCGCCAGUCAAAUGCUGAAAUAUGCAUAUGCAUGGAUGAAUGUAUGGGUUUCUUAGUUCCAGACCAAAGGCCAACAAUAAGGGAAGGAAGGACAGUUCUCAUUUUUAGCACGGACAAGGAGAUGAAGAAAAGUGUAUGUAGCUUGAGACAGAACAAUGGCAUGUGACCGCUCCUGAGACCACAUAACGUGGGGUGGGGAUGGGACGGCCAAGAAUGAAGAUGCCUGUCGGUCUCUCCGUGCUGCUACCAUAUGAAUCCCCCGUUAACCAAUUCAAGAUAAGCCUGAAGUUCUUUUCAUCCCCAAACCCUGUCCCAUCUGUGUAAAUCCAACAUCAUCAUUUACGACCUGCAACUCAGGUUAAGCAUGUUCUAUUGAGAUUCAGACACCACCCUUCAAAAGAUAUACUACUGUGAAACCAGCAGCUUAAUAUCAUUGUAUAAAAAAAAAAAAAAAAGAAAGAAGAAAAGACAUGAAAAGCAAAUUUUGUGGGGAUAAUUUCAAAAUCUCUCCUAAAGUUUUUUACUAUUUUACUGGCCUCCUUUCAAAUUUUAAAAAUUACACCAGUCUUCCUUGAGAUUAUUUAUCUUGUAACAUUGAGGUCCAAUCAAUAAUUAAAAAAUGAUAUUAUGAGAGAGAAAAAAAAUAAACUUUAACAUCAUAAAUAUUCUUAUCAACAUAUUAAAGUUAGUUACUGAAAUUUUUAUGGUGUUAAACUUCACUCUUUGUAAUAUUUUAGUUACAGAUUUUUUGAUUACUUGUUGUUGAUUUUUUUUUUUUUAGUGUAAACAGGAGGACUCGAACCUAAGACCUCUCACUUACACUCCCUCCCCCCGUACCACCCCAACCCAACCCAACCCUCCCCUCGUUGUUGAUCAUGUUUGACAAUGGAUUUGUAAUUGAAAAGAACAAUUUGGAUCUUACAUUGAGUGAAAUAUAUAGAAUGAUAUACUAUUUUUUAUGGCAUAUGUGAUUCAAUCCUUGAUGAUAAAAGCAAAUUCAAGUGUUUUCUUUAAUGUUUGUGCUGAUAUUAGAUUAAUUAAAUAAUUUAGUAGAUGAAGGAAAAUGGUGAAAUCAUAUUAUCUUCUCUUUCCUAAUAUCACUAUUUAAUUAUUGAUUGAACUUAGAUAUUACAAAUAAUAAAUCUCAAGGGAGAUUAGUAUAAUUUUCAAAUUUUGGAGAGAAGCUAAUGAAAUAGUCAAAAACCUUAAGGGAGGUUUACAAAAUUAUCCCAAAUUUGUGGGAAUUAGAAUAAUUGUACUGGACGGCACUGCCGCAACAGAGGGAAAGAGGAGGAGGUGCAGUUAACUUUUUGUUGUUUGAAAUCCUUGGUGAAAUAUUACAGAAAGACAGAUAAAACAGUUAGUACAUAGAUGUAUAUGACAGGGAAAAUGGUACGUCUGUUAAUCACAUUUGAAACACUUUCAUUGGUGAAUGACGAAAACUAUCAGGCUUGCCCAAUAGUUGAUCAUUGACCAAGACAAAUCUUGCCAUGCUAGAGGUACCAUCUUUUCGUACCUCUUUAGUGCACAGGACAUUCCUUUGUUUCAUCUAGCUAAUAAUCUACCAACUCAUUUCUUUGCAAAUGCACCUUUUAUGGUCACGUCUACGAAAGCUUUACAGGAUCUUUACCCAAAAAAUCAAUUCACCGACUCGCAUUUGAUGUCAAAAUUUCUUUACUUUACUCCAAGAUUGACUGUUAAUAAUAAUGCCACUUUGAAUUAUCACACCAUCCUUCUUGAUAGGAUUUGUGCUAGAGGUAGGGAGGGAGUCGCUGCAGCCGGUCUUCUCUUCAUAGACAGUACAAUAUUGCGAAAUCGAUCGCAUUCACGCAAUAUUAUAUUUCCAAGUCGUUGCAUGGGUAAGCUGCCAAAAAGUACGAACACAUGUUAUUAUAUAGCUUAAGAUUCAAAACUUUCGAGCAUAACCCUCCACCUAACACAAUUGAAUAAUGGAUAUUCACGAUUGUCAAAUCUGUCAAAGUACAGUUUGAGGACAACCCAUUCCAACCUGCAAAAGGUUUUUUUACUUUUCUAAAGUUGUUGAGAGCUGUUAAAAGAUUUACCAUGCUUACAUCUUCCGAGCCUUGGGAGUUAAAAAUGAAGGCACUGAGUGCUAUAAAAAGGGAAUAGAGGCUGCCUAGAAGCAUACCAGCCUAAAACAAGGAUUUGUAGUUAUGAUGGGAAGCAAAGCAAAAGCAAUGGGGUCUGGGCUGACUCCUCUUCUUGCCACUGUUUUAGUGGUGUUUGUUGCUCUUGGCUUGCCCUCAGAAACUGCAGCUGAUGAUCACUACAAGUAUUCAUCUCCUCCUCCUCCUUACACUAUCCCUCACCACCACCUCCAGUGCAUAUACCUCCACCUCAUCCUGUUUACAAGUACAAAUCUCCACCACCCCCACCACCACACCCAGUUUACAAGUAUAAGUCACCACCACCACCUCCUCAUCCGGUACCACACCCAGUUCCUCAUCCGGUGCCACACCCAGUUCCUCAUCCGGUGCCACACCCAGUUUACAAGUAUAAGUCACCACCACCACCUCCUCAUCCGGUACCACACCCAGUUCCUCAUCCGGUACCCACACCCAGUUUACAAGUAUAAGUCACACCACCACCUCCUCAUCCGGUACCACACCCAGUUUACAAGUAUAAGUCACCACCACCACCUCCUCAUCCGGUAUACAAGUAUAAGUCUCUCCGCCACCAACACCCAGUUUACAAGUAUAAGUCACCACCACCACCUCCUCAUCCGGUGCCACACCCAGUUUACCACUACAAGUCACCACCACCACCUCCUCAUCCGGUACCACACCAGUUUACCAUACAAGUCACCACCAAUCCUCACCCAGUUUACAAAUACGAGUCUCCACCACCUCCAGUUUAUAAGUACAAGUCACCACCACCUCCUCCACCAGUUUACAAGUAUAAAUCUCCUCCACCACCACCACCAGUUUACCACUACAAGUCUCCACCACCUCCUCCCCCAGUUUACAAAUACAAGUCUCCACCACCUCCUCACCACUACUAAGCAAUUGCUUCUGAGGUAAUAACACUUGUUCAAUAUACCCACUUCUGCAUGAUAAAGCAUAUCUCUAUCAACACAAACUGUCAUGUCUAUCAUGCUAAGUGCCUUCACUUCAUCCACCAAAAUGACUGCUAGAAAAUUUUUUUUAUGUUACCAAAGAAAGGCAUCAUUUUUUCCCUCUGUUAUCAAGAACUUGUACAGUAUAUAGAUUAAAGAGUUUUUAUUUUAACUAGCUUAUCAACUUAGAAAUGCAUAUAGCUGAUAACCAGCUGAAUAUUUGCAGGCAAAGGAGAAGGAAACCAUGUUUGAGACCUUCUUGAAGAUGUAGAAGCAUAAGAAUAAAAGCCCAAUGUGAAGAUGAUGAUUUCAAGUUUUUCUACGUUACCAUUUCUUUAUCUAAAUUGGUUGUAGCGCCCAAGUUCCUUUGUUUAUGGGAUUUGUAUCGUUUUACGUACCAUGCAGUACAUGUCAUGUUUGUAAGGUUUUCUAUCCUGCCGGCAAACCGCAGGUUCCAUGUGAUAAAUGAAUACUAUUUAUGUUACGACA